rnacentral:lncRNA from 1 species
AUGUGUUUCUCAAGAGUACAACACAAUGGAUCUUCUUAGGAAUAUCAUAAAAUCCAUCCAAGGUCGCACCAAGGAAACUCUAGAUUUGUUGGAAAGGAUGACAGAAGGAGAUCUAGAAAUUUAUCUUUGUGAUCUAUUAAAAGAACGCAAAUACCUUGUGGUGGUUGAUGAUGUAUGGCAGAAAGAAGCAUGGGAGAGUUUGAAAAGAGCAUUCCCAGAUAGCAAGAAUGGCAGCAGAGUCAUUAAUACCACGCGCAAAGAGGAUGUCGCUGAAAGAGCAGACGACAGAGGUUUUGUUCAUAAACUUUGUUUCCUAUGCCAAGAAGAAAGUUGGGACCUCUUUUGUAGGAAACUAGUUGAUGUUCGAGCAAUGAUUCCAGCAAUGGAAAGUCUAGCUAAGGAUAUGGUGGAAAAGUGUAGAGGCUUACCUCUUGCAAUUGUUGUAUUGAGCGGACUACUUUCGCAUAAAAAAGGGGCUAAACGAAUGGCAAAAGGUGAAAGACUGCCUUUGGAAGAACAUUAUUGAAGAUAAAUCUAUUGAAAUCUCCAGCAUACUAUCAUUAAGCUUCAACGAUUUGUCAGCUGCGCUCAAGCAGUGUUUUCUGUACAUUGGUAUUUUUCCAGAAGAUCAAGUGAUCGAUGCUGAAGACAUCAUACCCAGAGGAGAAGAAAGAAUGGAGGAUGUCGCUGAAGACUUCUUAAAUGUGCUGAUAAGACGAAGCUUGGUUCAAGUGGAAAAAAUAUUUUUGGAAAAAGUUACUAAGUGUAGGGUUCAUGAUUUACUCCGUGAUCUUGCCAUACAAAAGGCAUCCGACACAAACCUCUUUGACAUUUAUCAUCCAAGAAAGCACUCCAUAUCCUCUUCAUGUAUCAGACUUGCCAUUCAUAGUCAAGGAGAAAAGUAUCACUCACUUGAUCUUUCUAAUUUGAAGUUGAGGUCAAUUAUGUUCUUCGAUCCAGUUUUUCCUAAUGUGUUCCAACAUAUAUAUGUGUUGUACUUGCAUAUGGAUUAUGGUUGUGUUAUACCUGAAUCCAUAGGGAGUUUGUACCACCUCAAGUUGUUAAGCAUUAGAUCAGGUGUCUGUAAUAUUCCCUCCUCCAUUGGCAACCUCAAGAAUUUACAGACACUUGUCGUUGUAAAUGGGUACGCAUCAUUUUGCCAACUACCCCGCAAGAUAGCUGACCUAAUAAAUCUAAGACAUUUUGUUAUUCCAUAUUCAGAGCCUCUGAAAUGUAUAAACAAACUCAGGAGUCUUCAAGUUCUUAAAGGCAUUCGUUGUGAUCAGUGGAAAGAUGUUGACCCUGUUGAUUUAGUCAAUCUUCGAGAAUUAAGCAUGGAUCGUAUCAGGAGCUCUUACUCCCUAAACAACAUUAGCAGCUUGAAAAACCUUAGCACUCUCAGAUUGUCUUGUCAAGAUUAUGAUGAAUCAUUCCCAUCCCUUGAAUUUGUUAAUCGUUGUGAAAAGCUCCAGAAAUUGUGGUUAAAAGGGGAAUAGAGAAACUGCCUAAUCUGUUUCCAAAGUCCAUCACAAUGAUGGUUUUGAGGAACUCGGGACUGACAAAAGAUCCGAUGCCUAUUUUGGGAAUGUUGCCAAACCUAAGGAAUCUCAAACUAGAAGAUGCUUAUGAAGGAAAAGAAAUAAUGUACAGCGAUAACAGUUUUAGUCAACUCAAGUUCCUUAAUCUUGAUCAUCUUCAAAACCUAGAAAGAUGGGAUUUAGGCACAAGUGCAAUGCCACUCAUUAAAGCUCUUCAUAUCUAUGAAUGUCCAAACCUGAAGGAGAUACCAGAGAGAAUGAAAGACUUGAAGAAGCUUGAAGAGACCAAGUUUUUUUGUACAAAUAGUGUGUUAAUAUUUGGGUUAAACAGGAGAAGAAGUUCGCAUGAAUCAAGUUGGAUUAUUUCAACAUUCAUUUUUUUUUGUUUGAAUAAAAUCAAUAUUAUUUUAUAAAGCAUAUAAUAAAUUAUUAUCAUAGCAAUUAACUAUCAUGUUUAGUUUUUCGGAACACUUUUAAUAUUUGAUUAUAAAAUAGUUCCAGCUAUAAUGCUUAGGAUCGAAGAGAGUUGAUCAGCAUUCGGCAUUUUUUUAUGCUAUUUUAUAAAGCACAUGUGAUUAUACCGUUUAAGCUAUUUUUUGCACCUAUUAAAUAAAUUUGGAGAUUAUCAUUCAAAUGGAGUUAGCAAAUUAAACAAAACAAUCUAGACUUAAUAAGAAUGUACCUGAAAAUUAGAAGACACACUUUUGUACUAGCUUAACGACAGAAGCAUAUAUUGAAUGACUAAUAUUAGGUACAGUGAAACCUCACUAAAUUUAUACUCAAUAAAUUAAUAAUCUCUCUAAGAUAAUAUUUUCUUUCAGUCUCGGCUUGGGCCAAUAGAAAAAAUCACUCAUUUCGAUAAGUUAAUAUGAUAAAAUAUUUUCAACAGACCCCUAUAUAAAUAUAUGGUCCCAUCAAUAUUAUAAAUUAAUAAUUCCUUAAAAGUACAAAUAUAUCUAAGACGAUUUAGUGAAAUGUGAUUCUAUUGUGUUUUUUUUUUGUUAAAAUUUAAAGGGAAAAUGCAUAAGUACCCCCCUCCCCCAGCCUAUGCCCAAAAUCCCUAAGACACACCGGCCGAAAAGGGGUAGAAAAUUAAUUAAAAAAUAAGUUUGGGGGGGUAAUAGGACCUUAGUAAAGGUUAGGUGUGUCUUAGGGAUUUUGGGCAUAGGCUGGGGGGUACUUAUGCAUUUUCCCAAAUUUAAAUCUAGUUGAAAGGCAUCUUUAACUUUUCUUAUUACAUCAAAAAGUUUUGGUGUUGUUUUUUCGAACGACACCAUAAAAUUGUGAAUAGUUCUAGAUGCGAUAAGUGUUUUCUUACGCGAAUCUGGCUGCAAAGGUAUUAUAUCAUCUUCAACUUCAUCAUCCACGUUGUUUUUUUUAUGGUAUCCACAAUUUCUUCUAACUAAUGGACUCUGAACAUGUAUCACUUUCAUCCAGGUAAUCCAAUAGGUUAAUGAUGUUAACUUUUUUGCGGUAACGGGGAUCAUUGAUCAUUGCCUCAAAUUCAUGAAUGACGUUUUCACAAAAUACUCUUUAAAUUAAUAAAUAUUAAUUUAUCGAUUAAAUAAACCUCUACAAAAUAAUAAUAUUUCAUUGGCCCACCUAUAUUAAUUUAGUGAGAUUUUAUUAUAUGUUUAUAUAGUGUAGUCUUGAAGAUUUGAUGGUAAAAACUCUUUCGUAUUCCUCAAUCACUUAAUUUGAUUCCUUUCAAGUUUCAACUAUUAAAGUAGGUUCUCAUUUACUCCCCUAUUAUGUUAAUUUAAAUAUUACUAUUUAAUUAGAUAUUUAAUUUAUGUUUAGAGUAAUUAUUUUAUUACAUUUUAAUUUAGUAUAGGAUCAAAAUGGUAAUCUAAUUUUACACGUGAUAGAUUUUCACUUUUGAUAAUAUAUGAUGAUGAUAACUAGUUUAGUAUAUUAUAUAUGUGUGUUGCAACAGUAAAAAAUAUAAUUCAAGGCCUUUUUUAAAAAUUAAAUAUAAUAAUUCAGAGUUGUAAGUAUGUAAUACUUUUGUGAAAUUUUUUUAAGGUUAAUUUUCAUGUAAUAAAAUACGCACCAUUAAGGACAUUGAGAGAAAACUUGAUAUAUGAAAUUAAAAAAUUUCAUCCUAAUUAAAUCUUUAAAAUGUCUAUUAUACCCUUUCAUUGUGGACUUUGUUUUUUACUUCUUUAAAAAUCAUGAUAUUUUCAUUUUGUUUUUUGAAUUCAUGUAACAAUUUUUUCAUACAAGAAUAACAUUAUCUCUUGGACAAAUAAAAUUAAGAAAUAUUAAUUAAGUAUAUAAGCUAAUAAUGUUCUAUGAUGAAGUAAAUUAGCAUAAUGUUUAAUUUCUUUUUGUUUUUUUGGCUUUUUUUAGUGUGUGGAAUUGAUUCGAAGAUAACUUUUUUUUUUUGGAUUCGAUGCAAAAAUGAUUUUGUGAUGACCUAAUUAAUUGUUCCAAUGUUUGUUAUCUUGUUUAUCCACAUUGAAGAUAACUAGUUUAGUGUAGAUGUAUUACAUGUGUGCAUCACAUUACAUAAAAUAUAUAGUUGUAAUUCGAAGAUUAAUAAGAAAAUAAUAAGGAAGACUUAAUUCUCUCCAUAUAUAUUUUCCCACGAGUUAAAGAAGCUUUAAUACAUAUUUCAAGAAUCAAGAAGCAGUGAGAUAUUACAAAAAAAAAUUGUACCUUUCACUUAGCUUGCAUCUUUGUCCUUUUUGAUAAUGGCUUGCCUUGUCUAGUCAUAAUAUUUUUCUCAGAAACCACAUGGUCAUGUUUCAAGCACCCCUAGACUACGAUCGAAAUUCCAGAGACACUUUAACUAAACUAAAGUCCUAUUAUCCCUGAACCCAUUUUUUUGGUAAUUUUGUACACCUUUUUGGUUUACGUGGCAUCCAAAUAUAUCCCACGUGCCUCAAUUGUCUGGUGUCAUGGAGUGUGCCACUUAAGCCAAAAAGUGUACAAAAUUACAAAAAGAAUGAGUUCUGGACUGGGUAGUAGGAUCUUAAUUUAAUUAAAAUAUAUCUCUAUAAUUUCAAUCGUAGCCUAGGGUACUUGUCUCUUAUCUCAAUUUUAAUCACAUAAAUGGACACACUAUAUACUCUCAUCACAUUUAUGUCUUACUACUUCUGAGUGUAUUCCAAUAUACACCCCCCACCCCCCUCUUAUUUUCAAUCAAAAGUAGUAUUCCUGAAGAUGGCUGAUGCCUUUCUGUCAUUUGUAGUUCAAAAAUUGGGUGAUCUUCUAAUACAGGAAGUUUCCAUGCUUACAAGUCUGAGAGAUGAAGUUAAAUGGCUGAAGAAUGAGCUACUCUUCAUGCAGUAUUUCCUCAAAGAUAGCAAAACAAAAGCAAUGUGGAGAUCAAAGAGUUCAACAAUGGGUGUUUGAGAUGAACUCUAUUGCUAAUGAUGUUGUUGCUAUACUCAAGACUUAUAACUUUGAGGUUGGUAAAAGUGAUGACAUUGGAUUUGCUAGUUGUCUCAAGAAAUAUAUUCUACAAUGUCGCCAAGAUGCCAAGGAGAUCCAAUCACUCAAGCAACGAAUCAUGGAUAUUUCUCGCAAACGAGAGACUUAUGGUAUUACAUGGUUAGAACAUUGAGGAGCUAACUCCUAUGUGGAUGGUCAGGGUGACAUUUUUGUUGGAUUUCAGGAUGCUGUAGAAAGAUUGUUGAAAAUUGUUUUUAGUUACUGCAGUAAACUUUAGUAUAAGAAGUUGCUAGGUUUAAGAUUUUUGAAUUUUAAAUUAUGAAAUUUUUUUGUUUAAGUUGGUUACUUCCAGUUGUUUUCUUUUCUCAAAUCUCUCCAAGUAAGGAUAAAGUCUGGAUACAUACUACCUUUUUCAGACCCCACUUAUAGGAUUACGUUGGGUAUGUUGUUGAAGUUUUCACUAGUUCAAAUUAAAUGUCAUUGUAAUAGGCUCAUAGCUUUUAUACCUUUAUAAAGGUUGCUCAUUUGAUCCCAAGAUCCAAAUAAGGCUACAAAGUCAAUGUCUUAGUACUUGGUCGAAUAAGUGUAUCUUAAGAUCAUCCAGUUAACAAUCAAAGACACUGACAAUCAGAAUAUCCUCUAUGCACAAUGCAGCUAUGUAAUAAAGCUCACAACUCGAUUAAGGCUGCAACAUGUAAUUUGUUUUGUUUAUUUUAUGACACGAGAUGAAAUCAUGCAUCUACAAGCAUAUUCAUACUGAAUUUCAUGACUACUUCAGAGUUCUUAGCAUAUCUUCUCACAAAGACGAAUGGUUAUAGCUGAGGCAGAAGGCCAUCAUAAUUUAGGUAUCCUAUGUUCAAAAUUCUACAAAACUUGAUGAAUGGCACACCGGUAAAUUGCAGUCAGACUGUCGAGACAUAAAAUUGGUCUCCAGCAGUCCAAGCCAUUACAUUUGCGGGAAGAAAUGGAUUUUUCAGAUCAGAACUAUUUCCGCUAUCCUACUAAGCCUGAAGUUUGAGCAGAAACUAACAUCAGCUGAUGAUCAUCUUGCUCAAGAAUUCAGCUUGCUUGGGAAAGUAUUCCAACAGUUCAUCUUUGGUCACCCAGACAAAAUCAUCACAUUUUCUAAUAUCAAAUUUGUUGGCUGCAAUAACUUGGGAUUUGAAGAAGAAGCGCUGCCACAAUAAAUAUAGAAUAUAUACAUAAGAAGCACAAACUUUGCAGAAGCUAUCAGGGAAUUUCUCUCCCUCACUCCCUGUGGGAUGACAGAAUUUCUUACUGUCCUUUUCUUCAAUACUUUCAAUAAUUAAAAUUUACAUACCUUGAUUGACGGGAUUUUCUUGUCUUCAGUGGGUUGCGUGACCAUAUGACCCAUAGGGGCAUUUCCAACAAAAUAUGUAUGUGAAAGAUCUCCAAUGAAAGAUUCUAGGGCAGACUCAGCACACUGCAAAUAGUUGCAACUUAUAUUUCAUUUUUCUAACCAUAAUUACUAAAUCACCAAAGAAAUGGACUGAAUAAAUGCUAUUUACCUUGCGCAAAUUCUCUUCAGACUCAUAAACUUUUUCAGGGAAAUGCCAGACAGGCUUUCCACUACCUUGUGUGGUACCAUGGACUAGAAGAUAGAGUCUCCUGUCUAGUGCUCGAUGUAAUGACCUUAUGCAUAUCAACAAAACUUCAUAAUCAGUAACAUGAAAUACUAACCAGCAGAAGGAAACAAAACCUUUGAAUGUCUGUUGACAUAUUAUUCAUGUUCAGGAAUAUGCAAAGGUUUUGUAUAGGGUUAGUACCUUUUAGCGAAUUUUGACCAAGUGAUAAGUUGAAGAACAGACGCAAGCUUUAUUUUGUGGGGUAGAGCGGGUGAAGAAGGCAUAUAAAGGGGGAGGGGGGGGGGGGAAGGCAACAGUAGGCUCUCCAUUCCUAAUAUUAAAUACUUGCACAAUGCGCAAUUAGACAAAUCUCAUGUAACUAACACAUCAAUUACUUCGAGACAAUAUUAAGGCAUUUCAACAUCAAAAAUUUAGUUAUGGUAAACAAUUAGAAGUCAAUAAUCAUCUAUUGUCAGGAAAUACGAGUCUGCUGAACUUAGGUAAAGCAACUCUUGAAAGAAAAAUAUAUUCUAGUGCAAUGUCCAUAUUCAAAUUCUUGUAUAAUGUUUGACAAAAGUUAGAAGUCCAAGCUUUGGUACCUUUGAUCAUUAGUCUUAUCUGCUUCUGAGAUUCGAGGAGCUGGUUUAUAAUCAAUUUGAUAAUCACCUUUUCCCCUGCAUGUAAAAUAUAGAUGUAACCGUGCCACUGGACCAUGUGACAUUUGACACUAGACAGAACAGUAUGUGAUAGCAUGUUCAAGAAGAACCAUGUACAUAAUUAAUGGCUAAUAAGGAAGAAUGCAUGAAAGAAAAGGCAAUAAUACUACACAAGCCAAGGAGUAAAAAUCAGUUGGGUCAUACUGCUAAAAGAGGGGACAGUGUUUACUCUCCAACAUGUGUACUGUUGCAUGAAGAGAUCUCAAUUUCUUAAACUGUGAUCUAUGAAAUUAGGCCAUUUUUACCAUCAUGUACUUUUUCUGAAAUGAAAGUAAAGUUUUUAAAUUGUAAAUGGUCUAAGAUAGUAAUGCUCACUGCUCAGCACCAAAGGGUAUUCUCCAAGUUACAGAAACCAAUUUCGCAAGACCAAGUUACUUCAGAAAGCUAGAUAGUCAAGAGUAAAAUAUUGGUAAAAUAAGGAAAACCUUGAAAUAUCUCCAUGAUUGUGUCAUUAGUUUUCGUGGGACAUAUUGAAUGUGUUUUAUUUAGUAUUUCGGACAGGUUCCAUGCCUGUUGCAAUGAGCUCUUUUUCCUCAACUGUUUUACCCACUUCUUUAUUCAGUUGUGAGUACAAAUCCUUCCUUUUAACUGUUAAUGGUAGUUUAAAAGAGAACUUGACCUAGAAAGAAUAUUUUCCCAGAUUUUCAAAUUCAGGAGUUCUGAAAACUAGCAAAAUACUUCUAGUGCUGGAUUCCAGAACUUAAAGUCUUAAACCAUCUAAGGAAAACAAAAAAGCACUAAACUACAAACGUAAACAAGGAGUUACUAAUAUUUAUUUUACAAAAUUUAUCACCCAUCCAAAUUUUGAACUUAUGGUUUAUUUCUUGGUUAUUUUCUUUAUCAUGGACGGCAUCAACCCAUGCUGCUCAUACCCUUUUGUAAUCACUGUAUGCAGAACAGAGAUGAUUCUUCCCUGAAGAAAAUUCACCAGUACUUACACCAAGAUCUCUCAUUUAGACAAACUCUAUUUCUAGAGUAAAGAAGAAUGCUCAGAAAAUCUUCAAAACUUUUCGACUUUUAAGCGCUCUUCAUGCUAUUAAACUCCUAAAGCAAUUUCACUGGUCUAUUAUGUUUUAACUUAUUUCAUGCAUCCUAUGCACACUCUUCAUACCAUUCAUCAGUUAACAUUUCAUAAAUGAAGAUACAUAAUUCACAAAAAGAGGUAUUAAAUGGCAAGGUGUAAUUCAAGCAAUGCAACAGAAAUGUACCUGGUAUCAGACUUCUUCAGAAAACUUUCUGGAUACUCUCACCGAUAUUGCUGCCUCCAACAAAACCUAUAAAAGAAAUUAAUAAUAAAAUUAUUGCAAUCAACUAAACACCGAUUACGUUAAACAAUCAUCUACAUUGUCAUUCGCCAACUCUUAUUCAUGAACCUUUGCUCUUUUAUCCUUCUCAUUUCUCCUUUUGCUGGCAUCUUAGUUACCAACACAUUCUAUAACCUCAUUAUUCUCAACUUCAUUACACAUUUAUCUCCUAGCAUUAGAAACCACUGCAAAAUUUUGGACAAAAGAAACUCUUUUCUUUCUUAGAUAUACUUCAUCAAACUUACAAAAUAGCGAAGAUUCAUAAAUUUGACCUGACUAAUUUGGGAUUGAGGCAUAAUUAUUGUUUUUUAGUACUAUUUUUCUCAAGCAAACAUAUCAAAGUACCCCUUAAUCCCUAAUUAACCAUCACAGUUUCUGGAAAGCGAAAAAAAUAAUUUUGAUCAUUCUAUUAUACGAACCAGCAUUUAUAUGAUUUAGGAACGAUAGUACACCCGUAUAAGCUAAUGAACUUAUUGCUCAUCAUUGUAAUUGGAUUACAAAAGGCUUGAUUACAUUUCGAUUUCGUGCAACAAUUGAACAGAAAAAGAAAAUCUUACGAAAAUUCUUGAAAAGCAUAUACAGUAGGAUUGAUUGUGGGAACCACUACCGGUAAUCUUUCGAAGAGCACUGAAGCGACAAUUUUAUCAUUGUUGGAUGAAGAAAACCAUCGUUUACCUAUCGCAGAUCGACCCGCAGAUGAACAGCACCUCUGCAUUUUCAUAAACCCUAGAAACCCAAAUUCCACAGUACUGACAGGGAAUUGAAAUUUCUCGGGUUGAAAUUUAUGGGCUUGGGAUUCAGAUUGGAAUUUAUGGGCUUGGGACUUGGGUUGAAGUAUGAAAUUUCAAUAAAGAUUAUUAAACUUAUCUAUUCUUUAAGUAUUGAUUUUUCAGCUUAUAAACACUUUUAGUUUGAUCAAUCGUUGUAUUAUUGUAUCUCUACCAUAUUUUAGUAUUGCUUGAUCCAAAGGCGGUGAAAUUUUCAUCUGUUGCGUGAAGUAUAUAUUAUUUUCAUAUUGCUUUUAUUGCAUAUUUUAUUGUAAAGCUUAAAUAAUUUUCAUUUCAUAUUCAUGUAUUGAUUCAGUUGAGUUGCUUUCGGUCCUUCAGUUCAUGUAUUGAUUCAUGUAUUAUUUGUUAAUUCAAUUGAGUUGUUUUCCGUCCUUCAGUUCAUGUAUUGAUUCAUGUAUUAUUUAGGGGAGAGCCAGAUGGUCAUAAAUACAAGCAAUAUGGUUCCGAAAGAGGUCAGAAACUUAUUUUUCGAUAUGAAUUUCAAGUAUGGAGAACCAAGGUUCAGCGGGAGAAUUCUAUCUCUUAGCCAUCAAUGAGAGUUAAGAUUCUUCCUUGGAAUGUAAAUCAAUGGGGGUUGAUGUCAUAGUUUUAGUUGAGACAAAACUCAAGAGAUCAAUCGAUAACAUAUUGCAGAGCAUAUGAAGCAACAAAUUGAUGGGGGGUAAUUCAGAAAAAAGCUCAAGGGAGCAGUGGGGCGUAUUAGUUCUAUGGAACAAAAGAGUUUGGAAUGGGGAUAAUGUGUUUUGUUAAGUAUAAGUAUCAAUACUAGUUGAUCCUAUUGAUGACAAAAUUGAUUUUCUUGUAAGAUCAGUUUGUGUCCAUCUAGUGUUGACACUUAGUGUCACGCCCCGAGCCUACAUCCUGGUGUGUUGGAUAUUAAUUGCCCUGAGUUUCUUACCAUAAAUAGGUUUUCCUUUUGGGAAAAGGUUUUAAUAUUUGGCUAAUCCUUUUCUUGUAGAAAAAGGUUUAGGACUCUAUAAAUAGAGGUUUGUUUCUUCUAACUUAAUCUGUAUGCACAAUAUAGUCCUAGAGUUUUGAGAGUUCCAGUUAUGGGGGAGAAUUUGUGAACCUCCUUGUAUUCCGAGUGAAUUGACUGAGGUUGUUUCUCUCUAUAUUUUGUACUUUCAUUUAUUUAGUGGAUUGUUCAUCUCCUUUGUGGAUGUAGGUCGAUUAAUCGAACCACGUUAAAUCUGUGUCUUUUGGUAUAUUUCUCGUUUGUCUUCUUACUCGUGGUCUUUUGAAGUUUGUUUUGCUAGUUUCCGCAUGACACCUAAUUAUUUUCGAUCCUAACACGAUGAUGCAACAAGUAAGGCAUAUUGCUUGUAUUUUGAGCAUUGGUCACUAAACCUCAAAUCGUUUUGUUUGUUUUCCAACUGGAGCUAGGUAGGAUCGAGAGGAUUCAUUUGUGGAAAAUUAUUAGUCUCGUCAAUGUUUCAGUUCUUUGAGAAAUCACCAAUUCCAAACAAAAUUUGUUUUCAGCAAAUCAAUUUUGAGAUCUUGACCUUCAAGCUCUAACAAAAUAUUUAUGGAACAACCUCCCAGGCUGAAUUCGAAUUGAUUUGUGCUGACUUAUCGAAUAUUUUAUUUCUUCUCUUCAAAGUUACAAAACGCAUCUUCAAAUUGAGAAGUUAUGUUCAUCAUAUUUUUUCCUAUAGAUUCCCUAAACAAGGAUAAUUAAAAAGAAAAAGAAAGGUAUUUAUUAUUUAAAGAUUAAAUUUGAACAUACUAAAUUUAAAAUUUCUCAUUUUACCUUUAAUAAUAUGAUUUUAUGACCACAUUGAUAUCAUGAAAAUUUAAAACCGUAUAUUUUAAAAAUCUUCUAGUCCUGAUGAAAUACCUAGUCAAACAUGUUUCGAUAAAAUAAAGCAAAUGGAAUAUAAUUAAUUAGCUAAAAGUGAUAUAGGUGGAGGAACAAUUAAACCAACUCUUUCGAAUAAUAAAAUUUAAUCUAAUAUGAUAUGUCUUUUUAAAUAAAGUAUAAAGUACGGAAAUAUCUUGAUAAUUGCCUAGGGGAUUUAUUGCCGAGGGCCUUUUUGAAACAGCAUUUACUUCCCCGAGUUAGUGGUACGAUUUAAAUACAUUUUGCCCUUUUCAGACCCCAAUUGUAGGGUUUCAUUGGGAAUGUUGUUGUUGUUUGCCCCGGGGACUUGUGCCUUGGGACAUAAUUUCUUGUCUUAACACACAACUUGUGCCAAUGAAGCAGUGGCGUAGCCACAUAUAGCUUAGGGUGUUUGAUCAGACAUCUUUCGUCCAAAAAUUACCAAGGGCCUUUCUGAAACAACAUUUACCUCCACGAGGUAGUGGUACGGUUUGCAUACAUUUUGCCCUUUUCAAAUCCCAAUUGUAGGGUUUCAUUGGGUAUGUGUUGUUUCCCCUGGGGACUUGUGUCUUGGGACAUAAUUUCUUGUCUUAACACAACUUGUGCCAAUGAAGCAAUGGCGUAGCCACAUAUAACUUAGGGUGUUUAAUCGGACAUCUUUCGUCCAAAUAUCGUACAUAUAUAUUAAAUCUUGAACGGCAACUUUUGGCUUGGCCAGUACACUGAGCAUAAUUUGUGUGAUGCAAUUUUAAAUUCUUGGCCUGCAGUUAGUAGAGAAUAUAUACUUUUCUUUACCAUUAACCUCAAACUCUAUCAUCUUUCUACUUUAACACUUUUUCCCCUAUCGGAUUUUUGAAGCUUUAAAUACUGAAUUCCAUCAUAACAAUAUUCAUCACUUAUCAAACUCUCAAUCUACUGCUUCAACUUUUUUCAAAAAAUAUUAACUUCCAUACACCUACCCCUUUUUUUCCAAUAAAAAAUAUGGCUGAUGCCUUUGUGUCAUUUGCAGUUCAAAAAUUGAGUGAUUUCCUAAUACAACAAGUUUCUCUGAGAACAAAUCAGAGAGAUGAAAUUAGAUGGCUGAGAACUGAGCUACUUAUCAUACAGGCAUUCCUCAAAGAUGCAGAACAAAAGAAAAGUGGAGAUCAUAGAAUUCAACAAUGGGUGUUUGAGAUCAACUCUAUUGCUAAUGACGCUGUUGCUAUACUCGACACUUACAGUUUCGAGGCUGGUAAACGUGCUAGUCGUCUCAAGGCUUGCGCUUGCAUAUGUAGGAAAGAGAAGAAAUUCUACAAUGUCGCCAAGGAGAUUCAAUCACUCAAGCAACGAAUCAUGGAUAUCUCUCGCAAACGAGAUACUUAUGGUAUUACAAAUAUCAAUAGUAAUGCUGGAGAAGGGUCAAGUAAUCAGGUUACAACAUUGAGGAGAACUACCUCAUAUAUAGAUGAUGAUGACAUUUUUGUUGGCUUUCAGGAUGUUGUACAAACAUUGCUAGCUGAACUUCUCAAAGUAGAGCCUCGUAGAAGCAUCGUCUCCAUUCAUGGAAUGGGCGGAUUAGGCAAGACCACUCUUGCAAGAAUCCUCUACAACAGUCCUAAUAUAGUCUCAAGCUUCCCUACACGUGCUUGGAUAUGUGUUUCUCAAGAGUACAACACAAUGGAUCUUCUUAAGACUAUCAUAAAAUCCAUCCAAGGUUGCACCAAGGAAACUCUAGAUUUGUUGGAAAAGAUGGCAGAAACAGAUCUAGAAAAUCACCUUCGUGAUCUAUUGAAAGGACGCAAAUACCUUGUGGUGGUUGAUGAUGUGUGGAAGAGAGAAGCAUGGAAGAGUUUGAAAAGAGUAUUCCCGGACAACAAGAAUGGCAGCAGAGUUAUUAUCACCACACGCCAAGGGGAUGUCGCUGAAAGAGCAGACGAUAAAGGUUUUGUCCAUAAACUUCGUUUCCUAAGCCAAGAAGAAAGUUGGGACCUCUUUUGUAGGAAACUACUUGAUGUUCGAGCUAUGGUUCCAGCAAUGGAAAGUCUAGCUAAGGAUAUGGUGGGAAAAUGUAGAGGCUUACCUCUUGCAAUUGUUGUAUUGAGUGGACUACUUUCGCAUAGAUGGGGGCUAGACAAAUGGCAAAACGUGAAAGACUGCCUUUGGAAGGACAUUGAAGAAGACUCUAUUGAAAUCUCCUACAUACUAUCAUUAAGCUUCAGCGAUUUGUCAGCUGCGCUCAAGCUGUGUUUUCUCUACUUUGGUAUUUUUCCAGAAGAUCAAGUGAUCAAAACUGACAACAUAAUGCGGUUGUGGAUGGCAGAGGGUUUCAUCAUACCAAGAGGAGAAGAAAGAAUAGAGGAUGUCGCUGAAGGUUUCUUGAAUGAGCUGAUAAGACGAAGCUUGGUUCAAGUAGUGGAUACAUUUUGGGAAAAAGUUACUGAAUGUAGGGUUCAUGAUUUACUUCGUGAUCUUGCCAUACAAAAGGCAUUGGAGGUAAACUUCUUUGACAUUUAUGAUCCAAGAAAGAACUUGAAAUCCACUUCAUGUAUAAGACAUGCCAUUCAUAGUGAAGGAGAAAGGUACCUCUCAUCACUUGAUCUUUCUAACUCGAAGUUGAGGUCAAUUAUGUUCUUUGAUCCACAUUUUCGUAAUCUGUUCCAACAUAUACAUGUGUUCCAACAUAUAUAUGUGUUGUACUUGGAUAUUAAUUAUGGUAAUGUUAUACCUGAUGCCAUAGGGAGUUUGUACCACCUCAAGUUGUUAAGCUUGAGAGGUGUCCGUAAUAUUCCCUCCUCCAUUGGCAACCUCAAGAAUUUACAGACACUUGUUGUUGUCAAUAUUGACUUACUUUGCCAACUACCCCCCGAAACAGCUGACCUAAUAAAUUUAAGACAUUUAGUUGUUCCAUAUUCUAAACCUCUGGCAGGUAUAAGCAAACUCACUAGUCUUCAAGUUCUUCACCUUGAUUGUGAUCAGUGGAAAGAUGUUAACCCAGUUGAUUUUGUCAAUCUUCGAGAAUUAGAGAUGGGUAAUAUUAGGAAAUCUUACUCCCUAAACAACAUUAGCAGCUUGAAAAACCUCAACACUCUCAGAUUGUGUAUUUUGUUUGGUCAACAAUAUACAUAUCCAUUCCCAUCCCUUGAAUUUGUUUAUAGUUGUGAAAAGCUCCAGAAAUUGUCGUUAGGUGGGAGAUUAGAGAAACUGCCUGUGUUUCCAGAUUCCAUCACAAUGAUAGUUAUUUGGCAGUCAAGACUGACAAAAGAUCCGAUGCCUAUUUUGGGAAUGUUGCCAAACCUAAGGAAUCUCCACUUGUCCAGAGCUUAUGAAGGAGAAGAAAUAAUGUGCAGUGAUUACAGCUUCAGUCAACUAGAGCUCCUUCAUCUUUAUGGUCUUGACAACUUAGAAAGAUGGCAUUUAGGCACAAAUGCCAUGCCUCUCAUUAAAGAUCUUUCUAUCUAUAAUUGUCAAAAGCUGAAGGAGAUUCCAGAGAGAAUGAAACACGUGAAGCAUUUCAAACAUAUACGAAGUCUUAUAUGAUUAUAGGAAAGGUAAAUAUACAAACACAUUCCAAUCCUUCAUUUUUUUCUUUUUUAUAUAAAUAAUAAUAUUUUUGUUAAACAGGAGAUGAAGACAUUCAAGUUGAUGAAGAUGGGUUGUCCAUGCAUCAAUCAAGUUUCCGUCACUUUACUGAUUUUGUGAUUCUAUGCAAAAAUAAGGAUUUUUUUGGUUUUUGGCUUCUUUUUUUUUUAGUGUGUGGAAUUGGUUGGAAGAAAUUUUUUUUUUUUUUGUGUGUGUGUGCGGCGGGGGGGGGGUGGGGGGGGGGGGGGGGGGGGGAUUGUAUGCAAAAAUGAUUUUGUGAUUAUUUAAUUAAUAUACAUCUAGUACAAUAAUAUACAAAACUUUUAUAUUUCUUUUUUACAAAAAUAUUGUAAAACUUGAUAUACAAUAUUUAUACACGAUAUUAUACGAAAUCAUAAGAGGUAUUUAUACACAUUUAUACAAUCAUAUAUAUAUAUAUAAAAGAGAACUCUAUGUCCGCCUACGUAGCGUCAUCACAAACCAGGAUUUCCUUUUAAUUUAUUUAUUUACAAAACUAGCAUUCCCCUUACAUGAAAAGAUGUGACUUUUAUGAAGAGUUGCAACUUUUAUGAAGAGUUGCGACUUUUAUGAAAACCUGUGACUUUUAUGAAAGGUUGUGUUCCUUCCGAAGGGUUGUAACUUUUCCAAAGAGAUGUGACCUUUCCGAUAAGCCACAAUAAAUAUUUGUUCACACUACCCUUUGUUGUCUAUAAAUAGAGGGAUAUCCUCUCAUUUUAAAACAACGAAAAUUUUGAACUUCUUCUUCUUCUGCACAAUUAAAUAUUAUUUUUGUAUCAAUACACUGGUGAAUAGAAUCGUUCUAUCCUGAGAGGAUCUAUUCCUUUAAACCUCGGGUACUAGAGGGGAAUAAUUUUCUUAAAGGAACACUAUGCAUUUAAUGGGCUCAAUUUUUUCCAGUAUGUUUCAUUCUAUUGUUACAGAUCCUGGUAUGUUUGUUUUAAACUUUGUUGUUUAUGUUACUGCAAAGUUAUUGUUAGUACAGAUUAAAUAACACACAUUAAUUGAGUAUUACUAAUCAUGCAAGUUUUCUCUACUGAAAUUGUAAUUUCAAAUUGAACUUCAUCACUCUGGUAUGUUGAUUUUUUAAAAACAACCAAAUAAACUGAAUAGUUUUAUGUAAUAUUUUCCCUUUCAAGUAUAUAUAAUAUAAGGAAAAAUUACAGAAAUCUUACCUUUUAGUUUACUUAUUACCAUUAUCUCCUAUAAGUUUUACAAAUCUCCAAAAUCCCUUAUUUUCGCGCAUCAGAUUAGUGUAUCUCGCGCAUCAGAUUAGUAUAUCAUGUAUAAAAUAAUAAUAAGGUGGAGACAAACAACUUAUUCUUAAAAAUUAAGCAAUGCAUAUUAUUUUGAAUAUUGACAAAUCAAAGAAGCAAUAAAAAUUUAUCUGACAUAACUAAUUCCAGCAUAACUUGUUUUCGAAUCAACUGACAACGUAUUUGGUAUGAAGAAAAAUGUUUUCCAAAGCAACAUGUUUUCCUCAAAUUUAAGAAAAAUGACUUACCUCCAGAAAAUUAGGAAAACAUUUUUCAGAACUCUUUUUCUACCUCACACCUAAACUUUUCACCCUAACUCAAGUCUCGAGUUAUUCUCAAUACAAAUUCGGGAUCUGACUCCUGAUUCUUGAUUCGGGACCAGACUCUCGACCUCAAUUCGAGACCCGACUCAGGAGAUGGAUCUAAGUCAAAUUCUAAUUUCGGUGUCGAGUCCCAGGUCAGGAUUUGAGGUCGAAUCUUGGAUUGGAUGUCGGGGUUUAUUCCCAAGUCAGGUGUCGGUGUAGGGUUCCAAAUUGAGUGUCAGAGUUAGGUUUUGAGUCAAGAGUCGAGAUCUAGUCCCAGGUCAGUUGGCGGAUUUGAGUCCCGGAUCAGUUGUCGAGGUAGGGUAUCGUGGUUGAAUUCCAAUUUGAAAGUCAAGUCCUUGAUAGGGAGUUGGGAUCAAAUCUCGAUUUGGAAGUUGGGUCAAGUGUCGGGGUCAGGUUUCACAUCGAGUGUUUACGUCAAAUGUUGGUUUGGAUCUCACGUUAGGUGUCGAGAUCGAGACCCGAAACAAUCAUCGAGUUAAAGAUCAGGGUCAAGGUCAAUGUCGAGUCCUAGGUUGGGAGUUGAGGUCAGGUCCUGGAUCAGUUAUUAGAGUUGAUUUUCAGAUUAGAAAUUAUUUUCCUAAAAUUUAUUUCCUUAUCUCUAGCCAAAAUAAAAGUUUUUUUUUUUGAAAAAUGUUUUUCAUUCACCAACCAAACACUCAAAAAAAAAAUUCACUCAUCAACUUAUUUUCUAAGAAAACAAUUUCCUCCAUACCAAACACACCCUUAAGUCUCAAUCCCAAAAAAUAUUGAGGGUUGACAAUCGGUUAUAUGAAUCAUCACUAUCAAUAUUGUUCUAUUAUUAAUUAAGCAGUUGAUGGUGAAAGAUACACCUAAAGUAUCCUAAUUAUCGAGUCUCAUAUUCGAACUAUCAAUUGAGCACUCUAACUUACAAAAUGAUCAUCUAGGCACCUAAUUCAAAACUUAUGUGUCACGUCAACGUCAGGUGUUCAUUAGACACAAUGAGGACAAAUUGAAGUGUUUAAUUGUCAAUUAAGACCAAAUUGAGAUGUCUAGAUGUACACUCUCAAAGUUGAAGUGCUUAUUUGAUUAGAUUGAAUCAAAUCAAGAAAAAGAAACUCAAUCAAGAAUUUGGUUUGGUAUCGAAGAAAAAAAAUUCGAUCAUAAUUAAUUUAGUUUAGUCAGAACUUAAGAAAAAGCAUAUCAAAAUCAAACCAAAGUGAUAUUAUAUUUAUAUAAAUUUUAUAAAUAUGUUAUACUUUAAAAUAUUUAUUAUAAUUCUUAAUAAAUAAUGGUUGUCGAUGCCAAAUGGUGGUAUGUAAUUAAUGGUGGACGAUGGCAGUAGGUUGGAUGAGGGAAUUGUUGAACUACUAACAACAGAUCCAGUAAAAUCUCACUAAGUGGAAUCUGAGGAGGGUAGAGUGUAUGCACUCUACCUCCAAUUUUCAUGAAAAUAUUUAAAUAGAUAUCUUAAUAAUAUUAAUAUUUUUUUCUUAUAGAGAUUAAUCAUUUAGAUUUAUUCAAACACUACAAAAAAAAAAAAAAGGGGGCGGGCGAGGGGGGGUGGGGGUGUAUGUGUGAGAGAGAUCACUAUUCUGAUGGACUAAUGCAAAGUCAAAUAUUGACUAUAUAGAAAUUAUAAAGAUAUCAUGUGCACUACAACCAAACCAAUUUUAAAUUUUCUGGGAAUGUGUACUAAUAAUGUACUUGUUAAUAUUAUUCCACAUUUGAUAUAAUUCUUUUACUAAUUAAUCAAAGAGAAGAAAUGUAAACUAAAAUAUACUUAACUCUUGAGUCAAACUUCUUCUGGCAGCAAUUAACAGCUAACUUUGAUUUGUCUUUUGUCCUAAAGAUGGUUGAUGCCUCUGUGUCAUUCGCAGUUCAAAAACUUCUCAUACAGGAAGCUUCCCUGCGUACAAGUCUCAGACAGGAUGUGCGGUGGCUGCGAAAUGAGCUGUUCUUCAUGCAGUCUUUCCUUAAAGAUGCAGAACAAAAGCAAGUUGUAGAUCAAAGAGUUCAGCAAUGGGUGUUUGAGAUCAACUCUGUUGCUAAUGAUGCCAUUGCUAUAUUGGAGACUUAUAGCUUAGAGGCUAGUAAAGGUAACGACCCUAGAUUUGCUAGUCGUCUGAAGGCUUGCACUUGCAUCUGCAGGAAGGAGACAAAAUUCUACAACGUCAGCAUCACUAAAGCAUUGAAUCAUGGAUAUCUCUCACAAACGAGAGACUUAUGGUAUUAGAGAUAUCAAUAAUGCAGGAGAAGGGCCAAGUAAUUGCCCAAACAAUCAGUAUGACAUGGUUAGAACAUUGAGGAGAACUACCUCAUAUGUAGAUGAGGAUCACAUUUUUGUUGGCUUUCAGGAUGUUGUACAAGCAUUGCUAGCUCAACUUCUCAAAGCAGAGCUUCACAGAAGCGUCAUCUCCAUUUAUGGUAUGGGCGGAUUAGGCAAGACAACUCUUGGGAGAAACCUAUACAUCAGUCCUAAUAUAGUCUCUAGCUUCCCUACACGUGCUUGGAUAUGUGUUUCUCAAGAGUACAACACCAUGGAUCUCCUUAGGAAUAUCAUAAAAUCCAUCCAAGGUUGCACCAAGGAAACUCUAGAUUUGUUGGAAAAGAUGACAGAGAGAGAUCUAGAAAUUUACCUUCGUGAUCUUUUAAAAGAACCCAAAUACCUUGUGGUGGUCGAUGAUUUAUGGCAUAGAGAAGCAUGGGAAAGUUUGAAACGAGCAUUUCCAGAUAGCAAGAACGGCAGCAGAGUAAUUAUUACUACACUAAAAGAGGAUGUCACUGAAAGAGCAGAUAACAAAGGUUUUGUCUAUAGCUUCGCUUCCUGAGCCAAGAAGAAAGUUGGUAUCUCUUUUGUAGGAAACUACUUGAUGUUCGGGCAAUGGUCUCAGCAAUGGAAAGGCUAGCAAAGGAAAUGGUGGACAAGUGUGGAGGUUUACCUCUUGCAGUUGUUGUAUUAAGCGGACUACUUUCACAUAAAAGGGGGUUCGAAGAAUGGCAAAAGGUGAAGGACCACCUUUGGCAAAACAUUAAAGACGACUCUAUUGAAGUCUCCUGCAUACUAUCAUUGAGCUACAACGAUUUGUCAAUUGCGCUCAAGCAGUGUUUCCUGUACUUUGGUAUUAUUCCAGAAGAUCACGUGGUCCAUGUUGAUCACAUAUUAUGGUUGUGGAUGGCUGAAGGAUUUGUACCAACAGGAAAAGAAAUAAUGGAGGAUGUUGUUGAAGGCUUCUUGAAUGAGUUGAUAAGAAGAAGCUUGAUACAAGUGGUACGCACAUUUUGGGAAAAAGUUGGUAAUUGUAGGAUUCAUGAUCUGCUUCGCGAUCUUGCCGUACAAAAAGCAUUGGAGGUAAACUUUUUUGACAUUUAUGAUCCAAGAAAGCACUCCAUAUCCUCCUUGUGUCUUAGACAUGCCAUUCAUAGUCAAGGAAAAAGGUAUCUCUCACUUGAUCUUUCUAACUUGAAGGUUAGGUCACUUAUGUUCCUUGAUACGGAAUUUUUAAAGAUGGGUCUUAUAAAGUUCCAUAAUGUGUUCCAACAUCUAUAUGUGUUGUACUUGGAGAUGCGUGUUGACAAUGUCUAUAGUACCUGAUGCCAUAGGAAGUUUGUACCACCUCAAGUUCUUAAGAUUGAGAGGUAUCUAUGAUCUUCCCUCUUCCAUUGGCAACCUCAAGAAUUUACAGACACUUCUUGUCAAUGACUAUGGAUACUUUUGCCAACUACCCCGCGAGACAGCUGACUUGAUAAAUUUAAGACAUUUAGUUGCUUCGUAUUCAAUACCUCUGAAAUGUAUAAGGAAACUCACUAGUCUUCAAGUUCUUAAAGGCAUCCAUUGUGAUCAGUGGAAAGAUGUUGACCCUGUUGAUUUAGUCAAUCUUCGAGAAUUAAGCAUGCAUGAGAUUACCAAAACUUACUCACUGAACAACAUUAGCAGCUUGAAAAACCUUAGCACUCUAAAAUUGUGCUGUGUAGCUUAUGAAUCAUUCCCAAACCUUGAAUAUCUUAGUUCUUGUCAAAACCUUCAGAAAUUGUGGUUAGAGGGGCAAAUAGAAAAACUGCCUCUCUCAGAGCAGUUUCCGAAUUCCAUCGCCAUGAUGGUCCUUCGGUACUCAGAACUCAUGGAAGAUCCCAUGUCUACUCUAGGGAUGCUGCCAAAUCUAAGGAAUCUCGAUUUGUUUAGAGCUUACGGAGGAAAAGAAAUUACUGCAUUGAUAACAACUUCAGUCAACUGGAGAUCCUUCGUCUUGAUUGUCUUGAGAACUUAGAAAGGUGGCAUUUAGCCACAAGUGCCAUGCCUCUGAUUAAAGGUCUUGGUAUCCAGCGUUGUCCAAAGCUACAUGAGAUUCCCGAUAGAAUCAAAGACGUAGAGAGAACUCCUUUUCAAUGAAGCUUUUCAAGCAUAUGUGAUGUCCUAUUUCAGCUCUUUCAUAAUCGUAGAGGUAAUAAAUCCCAAUCCCCAAUGAUCAUUUCUUUAAUUCCUUUUAAUUACUCACUCUGCCACAGAUUUGUUAGUAUAAUGUUUAAUUUUUAUACUAUGACAGUACAACUUUUAAUACAUUAUCAACAUACUAAAAGAAGUCAACUAUAAAUAAUUGUCUAUAAGUAAAUCACUUAUGCAUGAGAUUUUGUCUUGUAUCCCAACAACAACAUACCCAGUACUGUAUUCCAACAGAAUGAGUUCUGGGGGGUAGAGUGUACGCGAACCUUACAUCCACCUCAAAGGUCAGGUAGAGAGACUAUUUCUGAUAAACUCUCGGCUCAAGACAAAAACAGACUAGAAAAAGACAUAAUGGAAGUAGAAGAGACAAUAGGUAGUAACAAAACAACAGAUGAAAGCAGAACAGUACUACAACCAAAUAAUAUUACAAUCAAACUAUGAUUAAUCAUCAAUUUAGGUUAUUGAUAAAUCUUUUGUUCUUUAUUGAAUACUAUUCCUCAUAUUAAAUAGUGUCUUACAAUUUUGUGAAUAGGAGAAGCAACAGCUGGCAGGUGUGGAACUUUUGCCAAGCAGUUCAAGAGAUUUACAUGCAGCAAGUCAGAUUUUAGAAAUAAUAAGCAUGUUUUAUUUUUUUUUGGCUUUAGGUCAUGUGUUUAAAUUAUAAGUGUGACGUUCAAGAUUUUUUUUAAAAAAUCUCCUUGUAUAAAUUUCUUGAAUCUUGUCAAAUUUAAUAAAUCUCCACCUUGGCAAGAUUCUCCAUUUUCAACUUUCUCUCAACAACUUUUGAUUGUGUCUUCAACCUUAAUCUUCAAUGUUCAACAAUGUUGAUCAAGUUCAAACAAUGUUGAAACUUGACCGCAGUAACCACUUUUGUCAGCAUAUCGGCAGGAUUAUCCGUAGUAUGAAUUUUCUACACUGUGACUCCACCUUCUUCUAUGAUGUCUCGUAUGAAAUGAUAUCGGACAUCAAUGUGCUUCGUCCUUGCAUGAUAAACUUGGUUCUUUGCUAAUUGAAUAGCACUUUGACUAUCACAAAAUAUUGUGAUUCCUUCUUGUCCAAUACCAAGCUCUCUAAGCAAUCCUUGAAGCCAAAUUGCCCCUUUGCAGCCUCUGUAAUUGCCAUAUACUCUGCCUCAGUGGUAGACAAAGCAACUCUUGACUGCAAAGUAGGCUUCCAACUAACUGGUGCGUUUGCAAUAGUGAAAACAUAACCAGUAGUUGAUCUUCGUUUGUCCAAAUCACCUGCAUAAUCUGAGUCACAAUAUCCAACAAGAUAUUGACUAUCUUUAUGCUCAUAAACCAAGUCAAUAUCUACAGUAUUAUGAAUAUACCGUAGAAUUCAUUUUACAGCCUGCCAAUGAUCCUUUCCAGGAUUAUGCAUAUACCUGCUUACAACUCCAACAGCGUGUGAAAUAUCUGGCCUUGUGCAAACCAUUGCAUACAUCAAGCUACCAACAACAUUCGCAUAUGGUACUUUUGACAUAUAUUCUUGUGCAACUUCACUCUUUGGCGACAUAGCAUCACUAAGCUUAAAAUGAGGAGCAAGCGGAGUGCUAACCGACUUCGUUUUCUCAUUCAUGCCAAAUCGAUUUAGUACCCUCUUCAAAUAUUCUUUCUGAGAUAAAAAAAAGCUUCUUUGAAUGACGAUCUCUUUUUAUCUCCUUGCCAAGAAUCCUCUUUGCCUCGCCCAAAUCAUUCAUCUCAAACUCCUUUUUUUGUUGAAUCUUUAGCUUCUCAAUUUCCUCUUGACUUUUAGAAGCUAUCAACAUAUCAUCAACAUAUAGGAGAAGAUAGAUAAAGGAAUCGUCUUCAAGCUUGCGCAAAUACACACAAUGAUCGUAUUUGUUUCUUAUGUACCUUUGCUGCAACAUAAACUUGUCAAAUCGUUUGUACCAUUGUCUAGAAGAUUGUUUCAAUCCAUACAACGAUUUUUCAAGUUUGCACACCAUAUUUUCUUUUCCAUCAACUUUGAAUCCUUCUGGCUGAGUCAUGUAGAUUUCCUCUUCCAAGUCUCCAUGUAAAAAUGCAGUUUUUACAUCCAACUGAACUAGUUCAAAAUUCAACUGUGCUACCAAAGCCAACAAAACUCUAAUGGAGGAGUUUUUCACAAUUGGAGAAAAUACCUCAUUAUAGUCAAUUCCCUCCUUUUGAGUGUAUCCUUUGGCCACCAAUCUUGCUUUGUAGCGAACAUCUUCUUGGUUAGGAAAUCCUUCUUUCUUUGCAAAUACCCAUUUGCACCCAAUUGCUUUCUUGCCAUCCGGGAGAUUGGCCAAUUUCCAUGCAUGAUUCUGAUGAAAGGACUGCAUUUCUUCAUCUAUGGCAAACCUCCACUUAUCUUCUUCUGAACUUUGGAUUGCAUCUUUAUAAGUGGUAGGAAUGUCAUCCGCUGCAAUUGAGUCCGCACAAGCCACCACAUCUGUGAGUCGAGCAGGUUUUCUUAUUGUCCUUUUUGGCUUGCUGGUUGCUAUUGAUUCAAGUUGUGGUUGAGGUUCUUGAGAUGGAACCUCCCCUUCGACUGGCUCUUCUUCCAGAGGAAACACUUCUAUUGUUUCCUCAUUUGAUCCAUGUUUUAGGAAAAUUAUAUUUCCCUCAAACUCCACCUGCUUUGAAGCACCAUCAGUUUGUUUGACUUCUUCAACUGUUACCUUAUUUGUCAAGGCAGAUUCAUCAAAGGUAACAUCCCUACUGAAAAUAAUUUUUCUUGUCUCUGGACACCAUAAACGAUAUCCUUUGACUCCAGAAGUAAUUCCCAUAAAUAAAGCUUUAUUUGCUCUUGGGUCCAAUUUUGACUCCCUUACAUGAUAAUAUGCAAUUGAGCCAAAUACAUAUAAAGAACCAUAAUCUUCAGCAGGUUUUCCAUACCAUUUUUCUAAUGGUGUCUUCCCACCAAUAGCAGCAGAUGGUAGACGAUUAAUCAGGUGACAUGCAUAAUGUUAUUGUCUCAGCCCAAAAUUCUUUGCCCAAGCCAGCAUUGGACAACAUACACCGAACCUUCUCCAGCAAAGUUCGGUCCAUGCAUUCUUCCACUCCAUUCUGUUGUGGUGUAUUUCUAACGAUGAAAUGUCUGACGAUGCCAUUUUCCUCACAAAUUUUCUGAAAAAGAUCAUUUUUGUAUUCUCCACCAUUGUCUGUGCGAAGACACUUGAUCUUUUUUCCACUUUGAGUUUCUAUCAUCACUUUCCAUUUGAGAAAAAUUCCCAAUACUUCAUCUUUUGUUUUCAUCGUAUACACCCACAAUCUUAGGGAAAAGUCAUCAACAAAGGUUUCAAAAUAGUGUUUCCUACCUAAUAAAUGUGUUUUGGAAGCACCCCAAACAUUUGAAUGAACAUAAUCCAAAAUACCUUUAGUAUUAUGGAUAGUUGUUCCAAAUCAUGGAAAUCUCUCGCAAACGAGACACUUAUGGUAUUACAAAUAUCAAUAGUAAUGCUGGAGAAGGGCCAAGUAAUUAGUCUGCCAUGGUUAGAACAUUGAGGAGAACUACCUCCUAUGUGGAUGACCAGGAUUACAUUUUUGUUGGACUUCAAGAUGUUGUACAAACAUUGUUAGAUGAACUUCUCAAACCAGAGACUCGUUGAAGUGUUGUCUCCAUUUAUUGGCAUGGGCGGAUUAGGCAAGACCACUCUUGCAAGAAACCUCUACAACAAUCCUAAUAUAGUCAAUAGCUUCCCUACACGCGCAUGGAUAUGUGUUUCUCAAGAGUACAACACAAUGGAUCUCCUUAGGAAUAUCAUAAAAUCCAUCCAAGGUUGCACUAAGGAAACUCUAGAUUUGUUGGAAAGGAUAACUGAAAAAGAUCUAGAAAUUUACCUUCGUUAUCUAUUAAAAGAGCACAAAUAUAUACCUUGUGGUGGUUGAUGAUGUAUGGCAGAUAGAAGCAUGGGAGAGUUUGAAAAGAGCAUUUCCGGAUGGCAAGAAUGGCAGCAGAGUCAUUAUUACCACGCGCAAAGAGGAUGUCGCUGAAAGAGCAGACAACAGAGGUUUUGUCCAUAAACUUCGUUUCCUAAGCCAAGAAGAAAGUUGGGAUCUCUUUAGUAGGAAACUACUUGAUGUUCGAACAAUGGUUCCAGAAAUGAAAAGUCUAGCUAAGGAUAUGGUCGAAAAGUGUAGAGGCUUACCUUUUGCAAUUGUUGUAUUGAGCGGACUACUUUUGCAUAAAAAAGAGCUAAAAGAAUGGGAAAAGGUGAAAGAUCACCUUUGGAAGAACAUUAAAGAAGAUAAAUCUAUUGAAAUCUCCAACAUACUAUCCUUAAGCUACAAUGAUUUAUCAACUGCGCUCAAGCAAUAUUUUCUCUACUUUGGUAUUUUUCCACAAGAUCAAGUGCUCGGGGCUGAUAACAUAAAAUGGUUGUGGAUGGCCGAGGGUUUCAUACCCAGAGGAGAAGAAAGAAUGGAGGAUGCCGCAGAAGGCUUCUUGAAUGAACUUAUAAGACGAAGCUUGGUUCAAGUGGCUAAAACAUAUUGGGAAAGAUUUACUGAAUGUAGGGUUCAUGAUUUACUCCAUGAUCUUGCGAUACAAAAGGCAUUGGAGGUAAACUUCUUUGACAUUUAUGAUCCAAGAAGCCACUCCAUAUCCUCUUUAUGUAUCAGACAUGUGAUUCAUAGUGAAGGAGAAAGGUACCUCUCACUUGAUCUUUCUAACUUAAAGUUGAGGUCAAUUAUGUUCUUCGAUCAAAAUUUUCGUAAGAUGAGUCUUAUAAACUUCAGGAGUGUGUUCCAACAUCUAUAUGUGUGUCUAUAGUACCUGAUGCCAUAGGAAGUUUGUACCACCUCAAGUUCUUAAGAUUGAGAGGCAUCCAAGGUCUUCCCUCUUCCAUUCGCAACCUUAAGAAUUUACAGACACUGUAUGUCAAUGACGACAUACAGUAUUGUGAACUACCCCAUGAGACAACUGACCUAAUAAAUCUAAGACAUUUAGUUUCCCUGUAUUCAAAACCUCUGGAACAUAUAAGCAAACUCACUAGUCUUCAAGUUCUUCAAAACAUCUGUUGUGAUCAAUGGAAAAAUGUUGACCCUGUUGAUUUAGUCAAUCUUCGAAAAUUAAGCAUGCAUGAUAUUACCAAAUCUUACUCCCUAAACAACAUUAGCACCUUGAAAAACCUUAGCACUCUCAGAUUGUUGUGUUGUGCUGAUGAAUCAUUCCCAUCUCUUGAAUUUGUUAAUUGUAGUGAAAAGCUCCAGAAAUUGAGGUUAGAAGGGAGAAUAGAGAAACUGCCUCAUCUGUUUCCAAAUUCCAUCACAACGAUGGUUCUGAGGUUCUCAGUACUGACAGAAGAUCUGAUGCCUAUUUGGGAAUAUUGCCAAAACCUGAGGAAUCUCGAUUUGCUUAGAGCUUAUGAAGGAAAAGAAAUAAUGUGCAGUGAUAACAGCUUCAGUCAACUAGAGUUCCUUCGUCUUUAUGAUCUUGAGAAGCUAGAAAGAUGGGAUUUAGGCACAAGUGCCAUGCCUCUGAUUAAAGGUCUUGGUAUCCAUGACUGUCCAAAUUUAAAGGAGAUUCCUGAGAGAAUGAAAGACGUGGAGUUGUUGAAGAGGAAUUAUACGUGGUGAAGCUUUUGAAGCAUAUAUCAUGUCUUAUUUUGGCCUCAUAAUCGUAGAUUUUAGUGUUUCUGCCAAGCACUUGAAGACAUUGGUUAUUUCAGGGCUGUCAAUGAGAGUGGUUUUAGUGUUUGAUUUCUUAUUGUUUUAAGCUUUUUGAGUGAGUGUAAUUGGUUUGAAGAUAGUUGUUUUUGGCAAAAAUGAUUUUGUGAUGUUUUAAUUAAUUGUCUACUGUAUGUUCCCCUACUUAGCCACAUUUAAGACAAUGCUUUAUAUGUUAAAAUGUGUUGGUGUAAUAUACCCUAAAUAUAAUAAGUAAAUAAAAUGACAAAAAAUGCAUAAACAAAUCUUUAGGCUGAGGCACGGAUAUCUCGCUCUCUUUAAGGAGAUUCAAGCCCACUGCAGCAUAAUCUACACCGAUCCAGCAGUAUCACUCUUGACUUGUCCCCUCUAGGAUACAACAGCCCAACAAUGUGUACAACUCAAGCAACUCCGGAUUAGUUAAAGAGUCCAAAGCUCCACAUAAGAACACUUUCCUUCAACAUAUAAAUACUCUCUUGUCUAUAGUGAAUAUAGUUGAAGACUUAGAAUAUUUUUCUAUGUCUCAACUCUCUCUUUCACUAUUACACACUACAAUAUUACUUCACACUUCUCAUCUUUUUGAGAUACUUCACAAAGGAAGAAACACAACUAUUUAUAGGUGAAGAAGUCUCCCAUAUAAUCAAUAGGUAGAAUGAGGGGUAGUAAUGUGGCUGGAUAAAUGUGAUAGAUGUUACAUGAGUUACAAGAAACUAAUGGUCAUAUGAGUUACAAGAAACUAAUGACCAUGAUAGUUACAAGAACUAAUGGCCAUAUAGGUUACAAGAACCAAUAGUCAUCUUCUACCACAAUUUAUACCCACUAACUUAUGCACUUAAUAUUUUAUUUUAAUAAUAAAAUGUAUAUACACCAACAAAAUGAAAUUAAAAAUAGUAUAUGGUGUUAUGAAUCAACCCCAGCCCAAUAGGUGUUCUUAUUGAGGACGGGAGUAUUGUUAUGAAUCAGCCCCAGCCCAAUAGGGAUACCAACAAGGAUAUCACACAAAUAGAUAUUGGGCCGAGUAAAAGCAAUCGGGCCAGGCCUUCACAAAUUGUUUGGGAUCCAGGCCCAUUUACACUUUGUUAAAAAGGGCAAAUGAGUUGGAAAGAAGGAUUAGGAAAAUUGUUAAAGAAAGAGUGUUUCCUCUCAUCUCCCUUCUUAGUCUAAGCUUCUCAUCCCCUUCCUAUGGGUUCUUCUGAUUUCUCAUCUCCUUGCUAUUAUCUAUCCUAGUUUCUUUAUCUUCUGUAAUUUCUAUUGUACUAGUACUAUUUCUAUGUUGCUGUAGUACACCAGUUAAUACAAUCAGUGAAAAGAGUUUGGCUACUGUUCUUUUGUGAUUAGUGUUUGUUACAUAGGUGCUUUCAUCCAGAGAACUCCAUCAUCAGCUAUGUUUCUACCUAGAUUCAAUGGCAAUGACAACGGCAACCCGAAGAACUGGAUUUUUCGGGCAGAAUUGUACUUCACAUACCUUGGUUUCGACGAGAAGGACUGGCUACCUCUUCCUUCCUUCUACUUUGAUGGUGAAGCUCUUUCCUGGUUCGAUUGGUUGUUUCGCAACAAGCUACUCGUCGAUUGGAACCAUUUCAAGGAUGCAUUUACUCAGCGAUUUCAACAACAAACCAACAUAAAUGUGUUGGGGCGUCUAGCUAAUUCCUCACAGGUUCAUUAUGACUACAUUAGUUCUGUCCCUAUAGUUUCACAAUCAGUUGUGGUGUCUCCUUUUUCUGCUUCCAGUCAUUUUUCAAGGUCCUCUGCCAUUGCAUCUGCCUGCAACGCUGAAAGCUCACAGGCAGACCAGGUGCUCGAUGAAAGUUCUCACGGCAUUAAAUUAAAUGAGGUAAGGUCAAUUGCACCCCGAGUAUCACUCCUAGUUCCUUUUGAUGGUCCAGAAGUUGUUAGGCCAAAUGAACAUCUCGAACGAGAUAUGUCAAUGAGGUAUGUAGAUGUUAACUCUCUUGCUAGUGGCUCUCCUAAAUUGAAAACUGAUUCGGAGACCUUCGUAGACUGGUAUCUUUCUGAUUUGUUCAUGGAACCUGUGGGUAAUGAAAAUCUGUAUCUCAAUAUCUCGACAAGUUCAAUACAUUCUGUUAAAAUACUUCCUGACAUUGAAAAUGGAAAAUCCACCGGGGCGUUCAAUGAUCAAAAUAUUUCAAGUCAAUUUCCAUUGGUUCCUGCUGCUAAUUUAUUUAUUAUAAUCAUGCCUGUGAUUGCAAUGGACCUUUGUGUAUGGGAUCCAGGAAUAUGUUUCGAGUUCAUGGCUCUAACAGAUUUUAUAGAGAACGCAGAGGAAUUAUUUUUGUUGGGCUGUCCUUGCAAGUUUUUCUUAAAUGUAGAUUCAAACUCUAUGAGUAGAGUGUGGGAUCCGGGACAAACAUGGUGUGUAUAUUGCUACUUCUCUAAUGGGUCAUGCGUUAUGUAUAACUACAUUGCAUUCACAUGUCCUUCAAUCGCAUAUGAACUAGUCGUUGAGGAAUAUUUUUAUGUAAACUAUGACGUUUUGGUGGACAACUUCAAGCAAACAUCAGUUUUGCGUCCCGAUGUCAGCACUAGUUUUGACAGGAAAAUUGAGAAUUGCUACCUAGUGCUUGAUAGAAAGAAUCAUAUUGCAUUACUUAGUUCUACUAUAGGGCUUCAGAACUUUGAUGCUCAUUUUAAUGUGCUCCCAAUUGGCAUCACUGGCCCCAUGAAAGUUUUUGGAAGACAUAGUGUUGCGCACGAAGUACUAUCUAAUUCUGCCCAUCACUGGUCCUUGAAGAUUUGUUUACAUGGACUUUUCCAUAAUUGGUUUGCUGGAAGAACUCAUUGGUUUGUUUUUGUUGUUAUUAAUGGUGAUGUUGUGGGAAGUUCAACUAGAAUUGUCCAUUUAAACAAAUGGGUUUCUGGGCAGCGGCUGAAGGAUAAUGUACAAAUGCCUAGGCAUAACAAUGUGUCAUGGAGGGGAAAUUCUGGGCUGCAAGAUGGAAAGUAUAUUGAUUUUAUUAAAUAUAAAUAUUUGGUGGUGGUCUACAAUGAUGCCAGAGAUGGACUACAACUUAGUUUGCCUUUAUUUCAUGUUCUUACUAUGCUAAGCUGGAGUGUGAGUGUGCAUCUUGCAAAUUAUAAAGUUGUUGAACUAAAUCAUGUCAGGGAUGUUUUCAAAGCAGCCUUCACUAUGAUGUCCAUUCUAAGGAUAUUGUGGCCUAGGAGACAUGUAAUUGGAGAAAAUGAUGAGUUUAUCGGCAAGAAGGCUGCUUAUGCAUUGAGCCAAGGCGUUGGCGUUAUAGCCUGUAUUGGAGAGCUGUUACAAGAAAGAGAAGCAGGAAAAACUUUUGAUCUCUGUUUCCAGCAAUUGAAGGCUUUUGCAGAUGCUAUACCAAGUUGGGAUAAUGUUGUCAUUGCGUAUGAGCCUGUCUGGGCUAUUGGAACUGUUGCCUCGCCUGAUUUUUCUUGUCACAACCAUGUCCAACAGGCAGUAAACUGUUUUGACACAAUAUACAAAGCUUGGUAUGAAGCUCUUGAUUUUUCUCACAAGGGACUUGCAGGUGUUUGCCAUCAAAUGCACUUCGUCCAUCUUAAAGUCAAUGUAACUGCACCUAGAUUACCAAUGCUUUCGUUGGCGAGAUCUCUUGACUUGAACCUUGAGGACAAGGUUCUUAUUGAGGACGGGAGUAUUGUUAUGAAUCAGCCCCAGCCCAAUAGGGAUACCAACAAGGAUAUCACACAAAUAGAUAUUGGGCCGAGUAAAAGCAAUCGGGCCAGGCCUUCACAAAUUGUUUGGGAUCCAGGCCCAUUUACACUUUGUUAAAAAGGGCAAAUGAGUUGGAAAGAAGGAUUAUGAAAAUUGUUAAAGAAAGAGUGUUUCCUCUCAUCUCCCUUCUUAGUCUAAGCUUCUCAUCCCCUUCCUAUGGGUUCUUCUGAUUUCUCAUCUCCUUGCUAUUAUCUAUCCUAGUUUCUUUAUCUUCUGUAAUUUCUAUUGUACUAGUACUAUUUCUAUGUUGCUGUAGUACACCAGUUAAUACAAUCAGUGAAAAGAGUUUGGCUACUGUUCUUUUGUGAUUAGUGUUUGUUACAUAUGGUACUCUCACUUGUCCACAAUUUAGUAUUUUCUGUUCCUCCUUCAAUAGCAAAGGAGUUCAUUUAUCUAACUAGUUUUGGUAUCUUAAGUUUUUGGUUUCUGGUUUCAGACAGAUUCGAAAACUACUUAUACUGCAAAAUUAGAGAUGCAACGCAUACCAAAAUAAUCCAAUCACUAGAAGUCUAAUUUACUGACUCAAAUUUAAUUACAUGCCUUCUUCACCUAACUGACUCUAGAUUUAUUGGAAAGGAUGACAGAAGGAAAUCUAGAAAUUUAUCUUCGUGAUCUAUUAAAAGAAUGCAAAUGUGAUGUAUAGCAGAGAGAAGCAUGGGAGAAUUUGAAAAGAGCAUUCCCGGAUAGCAAGAAUGGAAGCAGAGUUAUUAUUACCACGCCCAAAGAGGAUGUCGUUGAAAGAGCAGACGACAGAGGUUUUGUCCAUAAACUUUGUUUCUAAGCCAUGAAGAAAGUUGGGAUCUCUUUUGUAGGAAACUACUUGAUGUUCGAGCAAUGACCUCAGCAAUGGAGAGGCUAGCAAGCUAUGGAUAUGGUGGACAAGUGUAGAGGUUUACCUCUUGCAAUUGUUGUAUUAAGGAGGCUAGAAGAAUGGCAAAAGGUGCAGGACCGCCUUUGGCAGAACAUUAAAGACGACUCUAUUGAAUUCUCCUACAUACUAUCAUUGAGCUACAACCAUUUGUCAACCUUAGAUGGAAUAAGCACACCAUCACUAUCACAAUAAGAAAUAUCAAUCUUCUCAUACCUAUCAUGAAAAAAGGAUCACUGGAGGAGCUUAGAGCGAAAAAUCAUGAAAACCAUUCAUUCGAGAAAUCAUAUCAUCAUCAUCAUAUGUUAUUAAAAGUAGGAAGAAUCUAAGUCAAAAGUUGAAUUAUGAAAAAACCCCUUACCUAUUAAUUUUUUUUUUUAAAAUCAUUUUAAAAAAUUAUUUUUCCAUUUAAAAUCAACUUCAUAACUACACCUCUGCAUUUUCCUAACUUAUCAUCAUAUUAUCAUAAAUAAAUAAUAAAUAAUAAUAAUUAUUAAAAGUGGAAAGCUCCAAAAUUUGAAGUUGGGUCGUCAUUUUACCCCUAUAUUAAAUAAAAAAGUUAUAAAAUAUUUUAUUAAUUAAAUAUUAAAUAGUAAUAAUUUGUCAUUUUUUCUUCACAUAUAAAAAAAGAGAAAUAAAACUUCUAUGAAAUUAGUAAAUAGUAAGUAUAUAUAUAAGUGGAACCAAAAUAUUUUUAAAAUUGAAUUAUCAAAAUGUCCAUAAAAUAUUGAAUGACAUUAAUAUCCUUCAAUCAAAUAUUAUUCCUACAAUAAUAUUGUACAAGAAUAUAAAUAUACACUUAGUUCAAUGCAUUAGGCUAUUUAAUAUAUAUAUAUAUACACGAAAAUACCCAUUAAUAUUUUGCUACAAGUGAAUUUGGCCGCGCUACGCGCAGUGGAAUUACUCAUUUAACAAAUUCAUUAUUAAUUUGAAAAUUGAUUUACUACUAUAUAGUUUAUGAACUAUAAUGCUAAUUGUUUUGAAAAUUCUUUAAAUGUUAUAAACCAUAAAGAAUUGUUUAUAUAUACUUUAUAAAUUUUAAACAUGUUAGCUUUCAUAUAAAAGUGUUGCUUGUUACAACAAAAAUUAACAUUCUAUUUGGUAGAAGAAAGAAAGAAAACUAUAGGUAAAUAGAUGAGUCAAAGAUAUCAAAAUACUUGUGAAUGAUCGUGAUUUAUCGAGCAAGAACUCAUAUGUUAAACUAUUUUAAAUUUUUUAUUAUGCACUUUUCAAGUUCAUUAGUACUAUUCUCUUUCAGAUAGUAUAGUUACAGUAUAAUUUUAAAAAAAGGACCGACAUGCUCGUGUUUUCUUCACCUUUGGUUGUUUCUUUGUUCUUCACAGUUGUUUUAUAUUUCCCUUUUGUUUCAAUACACUCUAAAGAUAGAAAUGUUCUUCAAACUCCACAAAUAGAACAAACAUGUAAAAGAAUAACUUAUGAAACUUAUAGAAACAUUUGAGAAGAUGAUAUACUUGUAGUGCUCUCCACUUAAACGAAUAUCUGAGAUCCUAAUAAUUUUACGGAGAUCCUAAUAAUUUUACCUGAAAUCUUUCUGUUGCCUGCACAAAAAUGACAUAUCCGAUGAUGAUAUUUGGUUGCCGAUAAUGAUAUGUAACUGCAAAACAAUUAUGAUAAAACAUAAAAUAAAAAAAGAUAGUACACAUACUACAGAAGGAAAGCAAACAUGAUCGGUUAGGUAACGAUUGCUUCUAAUUUUGCUUCAAAUUCUGAGUUUUAAGUGCAUGUUAAAUCUGUUACAAUAGUCAUUUAAGGUGGAAUUAAUGAUGGUAUCUAAUUGCUACGUUUAUUUAUAUUUUAUUUAUGAGUCUUUUAAAUUCAUUUGUUAGUAGCAGAAAUGAAACAAAAACAAUACAGGAAAAGGUGAAAAAUGGUCGUUUCAUCUUUUAUUAAUAAAUGAGAUGACAUUUGUUUUUUCAAACAUAUUACACAAAUUAAAACUUAAUAAAAAGCUCAAAAAAAAAAAAAGCAUAUUACACAAAUUAAAACUUAAUAAAAAGCUCAAAAUAAAAUAAAAUAGAGAAAUAUUAUAUAUAUAUAUAUAUAUAUAUGAUAUGAUUUAUUUAACUCCUAUUUAUGUUAUAUAUAUAUAUUUCUAGAAAGUUAAGUCUAUCUUCUAAUAAAUAUAAAUAAUAAUAUAGCAAAUGAAUGAACUAGAUAAAUCAAAAGACAUGGAGUUGUGUGUAUUCAAUUUUUGUAAAUGUUUUAUCUCCCGAUUCCUAAUGCAAAAAAUAAAACAUUUCUUCGUAGUAAUAAACAUAUGGAGAUUUUGAAAAGUUGUUUGGUAUAUUCAAUGUGGAAUAAAUUAUUUUGAUCAAUUCAAUACAAUAUAUUCAUUUACUAAAUGUUAUAUAUUGUGUAUAUAUAGUGAAAAAUAACAAGACAAUUAUAUCAUCAAAUAUAUAUUAUGAUAAAUUAUGUAAAAGAUAAAAAUGAAUCAUUCAUUAUAUAUUUACAACUAGGUAAUUUACCCGUGCGAAAUAAUUUUUCUAAGCUUUUGAACAACCUUUCCAAUAAUGAUUGUUAUAAGAAAAAAAAUUAGUAGAUUUUAAAAAUAUUUCAAUAGAAAUUAAAUGAUUUAACAUUAUCACAUAUCUCAAGAAUUGUAAAUAUAUAAUGAAUGAUUAAAAAUAUCUUCAUAUCUAAUCAUUUUUAUUUUUUACAUAAUUUAUCUUAAUAUAUGUUUGAUAAUAUAAUUGUCUUGUUAAAACUGAGUGAUGUUUUUAUGUAGCGAUUAAACAUCAUUUUUUCUAUUUUUUGUACAUGAAAAAUAUAGAAUCUGAUAAUUUUAUUGUUAGAAUAUAACUUCUAGUGAAAAAAAUUAUGUGAAAGUUUUCGAUAAUCAAUAUUAGUUAUAAAUAAGUUAAGACCGUUGAAAUUGUACACCACAACAACAUAAAUAAUUUUUUUUUAGAGACAAUCUACUUGUCUGAGGUCAAACGUUCACCACUUUUCGUUAUUGUUACUUUGUUACUCUAAAAAAAUUAUAGAAGGAGAAAAAUAAAAUUGAAACAACAGCAAAAUAAUAUUGUUGACCCUUUUAAAAAUUCAUUCUUCAUUAAUUGCUUCUCUGAAGACCCUUCUAGAUGCUUAAUCAAUGCAACUUUACGAUUUUUUCAGAAAUAUGUAUGUAUAAUUGUUGCAUUAUGAAAGUACAAGUAGAUCAAAAUGUUGGAUUCUACUCAUGUUAAAGAAAUAUUCUCGAACAUUAAAAAACUAAAAAUGAAUCUAACCUAGAUAACUCAAACACUCAACAAUGACUUGGGACAUGAAGGACAACAAAUCUAUGUUAAUAGACAUAUCUUUUGUAGUUUAAGACAUUACUUUUAUUUAGAGCAGGUUUUGUUUCAUAUCCUUCAAAUUAAGCUUGCCGAAAAUAGUCAUAACUCACACCAAAAAUAUUUAGAAGAGCCGAAUGAGAAAGAAAAAAAGAAAGACAUUAAAAGGGCGAAAGCUUUUUCCAAGUGAUCAGAUCAUAUACAUACCAAACGAAAAACAAUCAAUACAAUUUUAAGGAGACAACAAAACAGCGAGAAAAAACUUACAUUAAAAGGAGUAAACUAUGAGAUACCCAAUGAUGAUAACAAAUCAUUCUAACCAAAAAAGUUCUCAUGUUUUGAAAUAACAUACCUCAAAAAAUUGACUAACACUUCAAUCAACUUUCAAUCCUUAAAGUACUCAUAAUAUCCACAUAUAAAAUUUAGUAAAAAUAGAUAACAACAACAUAAAAACCAAAAAAUAUGGGCAUGCAAAGUUAUUAACUCUCAAAGGAUUUUCUAAAGAACACAAAAUCUCAUCCUUGUAUGUGAAGGAAUGUCGUUAUUGAUGAAGAAAUUAGAGAUUUGUAAGAGCUUUUUUAUUGUACCUUCAACAAUUCCAAUAGAGAAACCUUGCUUGAAUACUCAAUUAACGUUUGUUAUUUACCUCAAAAAAUUGACUAACACUUCAAUCAACUUUCAAUCCUUAGAAUACUCAUAAUAUCCACAUAUAAAAUUUAGUAAAAAUAGAUUACAACAACAUAAAAACCAAAAAAUAUGGGUAUGCAAAGUUAUUAACUCUCAAAGGAUUUUCUAAAGAACACAAAAUCUCAUCCUUGUAUGUGAAGGAAUGGCGUUAUUGAUGAAGAAAUUAGAGAUUUGUAAGGGCAUUUUUUAUUGUACCUUCAACAAUUUCAGUAGAGAAAACUUGCUUGAAUACUCAAUUAACGUUUGUUAUUUAAUUUGUACUAACAAAUACUUAUAACAAUAAUUUUGCAGAAACAUAAACAACAAAGUUUAAAGCAUGUACUCAAAAAUAACAAUUAAUAAUAUAAACAUAAAUUAAUGACCGUAAAAAACAUAUCAGGAUAUGUAACAAUAGAAUGAAACAGAAUGGAAAAAAUUGAGUCCACUGAAUGCACAGUCCCCCUUAAGGAAAUUAUUCCCCUCUAGUACCCGAGGUUUAAAGGAAUAGAUCCUCUCAGGAUAGAAUAAUUCUAUUCACCAUUGUAUUGAUACAAAAACAAUGGUGUCAGUGAGUCAUUCAACAGGAGCAAAAUACACAAAUAUUUAAUUGUUUAGAAGAAGAAGAAAUUCAAAAUUUUUGUUGUUUAAAAUGAGAGGAAAUUCCUCUAUUUAUAGACAACGAAGGGUAGUGUGAACAAAUGUAUAUUGUGUCUUAUCGAAAUUGUCACAACUCUUUGGAAAAGUUACAAAAGGUCACAACCUUUAUAAAAGUCAUAAUUUUUCAUAAAAGUUGCAAAAUGACUAAAAUAUCCAUAGAAAGAUAUUAGAUAUUUUUAUCGUUUUAAAAAUUAAUUAACUACAUAUUUUUUUAUAUUUUCCUUUUUUUUUUGUAUUUAUUUUCAUUGCACUUAAUAUCAUACGAACUAAAUUUUUUUCUCUUCUUUAUUUAUUAUUUUUCUCCUUUAUUUAUUUUAAAUUCAUUUUCAUGACUCAUGUUUAAUUAUCUAUUAGAUUGUUACUCUUAAUAUUUAUAACUCUUAUUCUUUUCAUAUUCAUAACUUCCAAUUAUUAAGAGAUGCUACCUAUAAAAGUUCCUAAAUACAUUAUUUGUGUUAUAGUCUUUUCUUCAUUCAACCUCAUUUGUUUUAUCCUUUGAGCUUCCAAUUGUAAUUAGUAUUAAUAAGUAUCUAUUACUCAUCUUUCUUAUCUUGCUUGCACUAUAUAAAGGUGUACAAAUGAAUAGUAAAUUAUGAUUCUCUUCUUUCUAUAAUUUUUUUUAUUGUUUUGCAUUUUCCUCAAUACUAUGUGGACAAGUAAAUUUAUUUUCUUUUGUGUUUAAGAGCUUAUAUUUACAAGGUAACAUGUAAUUAAUAUUAUUAUUUACUAUUUGAUUUAUGUUUUAGUUUAACUUGGUGAAGAAGAUUCUUGAAUUUUGAUUGAUUGUAGAAGAAGGUGUUGAUAAGAACUCGGAAUUUAUGUACUGAUUUUGUAUUUUCAUCCAUUUGUAUUAUUAUGAUCAAAGUCUUAAGAAGGGUGUGUAUGUUGUAUUUUUUCUUUUAUGUUUUUAUUUGUUUUUCUCAUUAUUAGACUUCUUUAAUUUGAUUUUCUAUGAAUUUUCGAAUGUCGUAAUUCUGUAAUUUUAAUCAUUUUAUCGAUCUAUAAAAAAUUACAUGGGAUAAACAUGCAAAUCACGUAUCCAGAAACUUGUUUGAUAUAAGAAUAUGUAAGACUCAGCAUACUAUGAGACAUGAGUGCUUAUAUGAAUAGAUUCAUAUUAGGAGGCUGAUAUUCAUAGCCUUAUAGAGUAAGAUAAAGAUCAAUGGGCUAAAGUUUCUGCCUCUUAUUCUGGGAAGUGAACAUAGAUAUGAAUUUAUGAUCUGAAGCGUUUGAGCAUAGGUCAUGGACAUAAUGCCAAUAUGUGAGAAAUCAACAAGGUGUUGUAACGAGUUAACUUUGAGGAAUACGCUAGACUAUGAAUGGAUUGAUAUACCACCAUAACUUUUUCUGAACACAUCAUUAUAUGAUUAUCAACGCUUGACUUGGUUCCUUACCUUAUCAUCUCCCCCUUAGGUCAGAAGCUGACACCCUAAGGCUAUGGACCUAUUACAUAUUCUCUAUACUAGUCUAUAUUCACUUUACUCUAACAUUCGAAAAAAUGCUAAUCACAUGUCUAUUAAACUCUCCAUGCGCAGGUACUAAGAUUCCUUUUAGGGCUUCUUUCUGAGCUGCUUCUCUUAACUUAUUCUUGCUUCUAUAGAAGUCUUUUGAUAAUCGUUACCCGCAUUGGAUUAUAAUUUUAUCUAACUCUUAAUUAAUAGUCUGACGUCUCCUUCUUAGCCUACUAAUACCGUCCUUCUAAGUUCAUAUCUAUCUAACUAGAGAAAACUUGAAUUGUAUUUAAUUAAGAGGCUCGUCAUUGUCUAUGUAUGAUUCUUUCGACCAAACUCUUAAGGGUAAUAAAGAAUGCUUGCAUCAGUCUACUCCACAUUGACAGCUCAAAUAUAUUAUCUAGGCACACAUAGAAAAUCAUAAACUUAAUUAAAGUCUCAUCUAACUAUAUAUGAUCUUGGGUACACAUCUUAGUGCUCUUGUUUAUCCAAUGACGUAGCCACACUUCAUUACUCUCGUCUAAGGGUCAUAAUACCACACUUGUACCACUCACAUUUAAUGCAAAUUAACACCUUAAUUCCUCACUUACUCUAUGUCAAAAGCCUACUAGAUCAAAUCUCAAAACUAACAUCAUUACCCCCCAUAUUGCCAUUCUUUUUAUCACUAUACUCAUCUCAAAUUCAAGCUUAGUGUCCAGUACUAAACAUGGAUAUCAAUGUCAUUGUUCACAUACUAUACUAACUUAUGACUACUGGAUAAAAUUAAGACACAGUCGCCGACUAAGACCUCAUGACAAGUAAUCAAUCUUUAUCCCCUAGUCUACCUAGUUACAGUUUAUCGCCACAUCCCUUUCACAACCUAAGUACUAUUUACCCCCUUCACUAUACAUUAUUGCCUAAUUAGUUCCAUAAUCCUAUUAAUAUCAUGAGGCUCUCCUUUCAAAAUCAUAAGUCUAGCUUAGAUCUAUUUCCUCAUGACUAUUUGUCCUUCAAACAUAUACUUGGUCUUCGCUAUCACAAUUACAUCAAAUUAAAAUUUAAAAUUUUGACUGCAAAAAAAGCGAAAGAAGCAAUCCAUAGAAAGAUUUGACGCUCUGAAACUUCAAGUUAACCUUCAUGGCUGAAUUCAAAUUAAUUUGUGCUAACUUAUUGAAUAUUUUUUUUCUUCUCUUCAAUGUUACAAAACACAUCUUCAAAAAAUUGAGAAGCCAUGCUCAUCAUUUUUUCCUAUAGAUUCCCCAAACGAGGAAACUUAAAAAGAACAGAAACGUAUCUAUUAUUAAAAGAUUAAAUUUGAACAUAAUUAAUUUAAAAUUUCUUAUUUUACCAUUAAUAAUAUAAUUUUAUACCACAUUGAUAUCACGAAAAUUUAAAAAUCCCAAAUCCCAAAUAUCUUUGGUUUAAAUGUGGCACCUAGCCAAACAUGUUUUUAUAAAUAAUCUUCAUUUAUUUUUGAAAGGUAUAAAAAUCGGCCAAAACUAUGUAGCCCAAGUAAAUGAACGGUAGUUAAAAAAAAAAAAAAAAGGUCAUUCGCACAAAUGCCAAUUUGAUGUGACAUUUUGAUAUUUUUUUCCUCUCAAAUGCAUUGUCUUUAAUUUUAUUCCUAUUGCUUAUUUAAUGAAAAUUUUAUUGGCUAAAAUACCCUUAAAUUUAACUAGACAGAACAUUUUACAUAAUGUUUGUAUACAUUGGAGCAUAAAUUUAUCAUGGGAAUAUUUUUUUAUUUGUUUUUUCGCUGUCAGAGAGAAUAUAUACUUUUCUUUGUUUUUUUUGCCGUCAGAGAGAAUAUAUACUUUUCUUUAUCAUUACCCUCAACUUUAUCAUCUUUCUACUUUAAGACUUUAACAAUAUUCCCAUGAUAACAAUAUUCCUUUACACUGAAUUUUUGAAGCUUUAAAUACUGAAUUCCAUGACAACAAUAUUUAUCUCUUAUCAAACUCUCAAUCUACUAAUUUCCAUACACACUUUACCUUUUACAAAAAAAAUAUUAAUUAAUUUCCAUAUUCCUAAAGAUGGCUGAUGCCGUUGUGUCAUUUGCAGUUCAAAAAUUGGGUGAUUUCCUCAUUCAGGAAGUUAACCUACGUUUAAGUCUAAGAGAGGAUAUGAAGUGGAUGAGAACUGAGCUUCUCUUCAUGCAGUCUUUCCUCAAAGAUACAGAACUAAAACAAUAUGGAGAUCAUACAAUUCAACAAUGGGUAACUGAGAUGAACUCUAUUGCUAAUGACGCUGUUGCUAUACUCGAGACUUACAGUUUAGAGGCUGGUAAAGGUGCUAGUCGUCUCAAGGCGUGCGCUUGCAUAUGUAGGAAGGAGAAGAAAUUCUACAAUGUCGCCAAGGAGAUUCAAUCACUCAAGCAACGAAUCAUGGAUAUCUCUCGUAAAAGAGAUACUUAUAGUAUUACAAAUAUCAAUAGUAAUGCUGGAGAAGGAACAAGUAAUCAGGUUACAACACUGAGGAGAACUACCUCAUAUGUGGAUGACCAGGAUUACAUUUUUGUUGGACUUCAGGAUGUUGUAGAAUCAUUGCUAGCUGAACUUCUCAAAGCAGAGCCUCGUCGAAACGUCCUCUCCAUUCAUGGGAUGGGUGGAUUGGGCAAGACCACUCUUGCCAGAAACCUCUACAACAGUCCUAAUAUAGUCUCAAGCUUCCCUACUCGCACUUGGAUAUGUGUUUCUCAAGAGUACAACACAAUGGAUCUUUUUAAGACUAUCAUAAAAUCCAUCCAAGGUUGCGCCAAGGAAACUCUAGAUUUGUUGGAAAAGAUGGCAGAAACAGAUCUAGAAAAUCACCUUCGUGAUCUAUUAGAAGGAUGCAAAUACCUUGUGGUGGUUGAUGAUGUGUGGCAGAAAGAAGCAUGGGAGAGUUUGAAAAGAGCAUUUCCGGAUAGAAAUAAUGGCAGCAGAGUUAUUAUCACCACGCGCAACCAGGAUGUCGCUGAAAGAGCAAACAACAGAGGUUUUGUCCAUAAACUUCGUUUCCUAAAACAAGAAGAAAGUUGGGAUCUCUUUUGUAGGAAACUACUUGAUGUUCGAGCAAUGGUUCCAGCAAUGGAAAGUCUAGCUAAGGAUAUGGUGGAAAAAUGUAGAGGCUUACCUCUUGCAAUUGUUGUAUUGAGUGGACUACUUUCGCAUAGAUGGGGGCUAGACAAAUGGCAAAACGUGAAAGACUGCCUUUGGAAGGACAUUGAAGAAGACUCUAUUGAAAUCUCCUACAUACUAUCAUUAAGCUUCAACGAUUUGUCAGCUGCGCUCAAGAAGUGUUUUCUCUACUUUGGUGUUUUUCCAGAAGAUCAAGUGAUCGAUGCUGACGACAUAAUGCGGUUGUGGAUGACAGAGGGUUUCAUCAUACCAAGAGGAGAAGAAAGAAUGGAGGAUGUCGCUGAAGGCUUCUUGAAUGAGCUGAUAAGACGAAGCUUGGUUCAAGUAGCUCAAACAUUUUGGGAAAAAGUUACUGUAUGUAGGGUUCAUGAUUUACUUCGUGAUCUUGCCAUACAAAAGGCAUUGGAGGUAAACUUCUUUGACAUUUAUGAUCCAAGAAAGAACUUGAAAUCCACUUCAUGUAUAAGACAUGCCAUUCAUAGUGAAGGAGAAAGGUACCUCUCAUCACUUGAUCUUUCUAACUCGAAGUUGAGGUCAAUUAUGUUCUUUGAUCCACAUAUUUGUAAUGUGUUCCAACAUAUAGAUGUGUUCCGACAUAUAUAUGUGUUGUACUUGGAUAUUGAUUAUGGUAAAGUUAUACCUGAUGCCAUAGGGAGUUUGUACAACCUCAAGUUGUUACGCUUGAGUGUUGUCAGUAAAAUUCCCUCCUCCAUCGGCAACCUCAAGAAUCUACAGACACUUGUUGUUGUCAAUAUGGACAGACGCUUUUGCCAACUACCCCCCGAAACAGCUGACCUAAUAAAUUUAAGACAUUUAGUUGUUCCAUAUUCUAUACCUCUGGCAGGUAUAAGCAAACUCACUAGUCUUCAAGUUCUUCGCCUUGAUUGUGAUCAGUGGAAAGAAGUUGACCCAGUUGAUUUAGUCAAUCUUCGAGAAUUAGAGAUGCGUAAUAUAUACAAAUCUUACUCCCUAAACAACAUUAGCAGCUUGAAAAACCUUAACACUCUCAAAUUGUGUAUUUUGCUUGGUCCACAAUCUACAUAUCCAUUCCCAUCCCUUGAAUUUGUUAAUAGUUGUGAAAAGCUCCAGAAAUUGUUGUUAGGUGGGAGAUUAGAGAAACUGCCUGUGUUUCCAGAUUCCAUCACAAUGAUAUUUCUUUGGGAGUCAAGACUGACAAAAGAUCCGAUGCCUAUUUUGGGAAUGUUACCAAACCUAAGGAAUCUCGAAUUAGAAGCAGCUUAUGAAGGAGAAGAAAUAAUGUGCAGUGAUUACAGCUUCAGUCAACUAGAGCUCCUUCAUCUUUAUGGUCUUGACAACUUAGAAAGAUGGCAUUUAGGCACAAAUGCCAUGCCUCUCAUUAAAGAUCUUGUUAUCCAUCAUUGUCCAAAGCUGAGGGAGAUUCCAGAGAGAAUGAAAGACGUGAAGCAUUUCAAACGUAUAUGAAGUCUUAUAUGAUAAUAGGAAAGGUAAAUAUACAAACACAUCCCAAUCCUUCAUUUUUUUUCUUUUUUAUAUAAAUAAUAAUAUUUUUGUUAAAACAGGAGAUGAAGACAUUCAAGUUGAUGAAGAUGGGUUGUCCAAGCAUCAAUCAAGCUUCCGUCACUUUACUGAUUUUGUGAUUCUAGGCAAAAAUGAGGAUUUUUUUGGUUUUUGGCUUCUUUUUUUUUUUUUAGUGUGUGGAAUUGGUUGGAAGAGAUUUUUUUUUUGGGGGAAGUGGGGGUGGNNNNNNNNNNNNNNNNNNNNNNNNNNNNNNNNNNNNNNNNNNNNNNNNNNNNNNNNNNNNNNNNNNNNNNNNNNNNNNNNNNNNNNNNNNNNNNNNNNNNGGGAUCACCCCCGACGAAAAAUCCACGAUGAUCUCCUCGAUCUUCUCUUCUUCUUCUCCUUCUUCUCUUCUUCUUCUCUUCUUCUUCUCCUUCUUCUCUNNNNUCCUCGAUUUCCUCUUCUUCUCUUCUUCUUCUCUUCUUCUUCUCAAGCCCUAGCCUUCACUCUCUUAAAAUGGAACAAAAUGAUCCAAGUAUCAGCCUUACUCAACAAUAUAACCUCAAAAGAAAUAGCCAGGGAAAAGACCAAAAUGCCCUUAAUUUUCCGGAGAGAUUUCCCUGCCAACAGCCCAACUUCUAAAGGGCACAACUCGCUCAUACGAACUCGGAAUUGAGCAAACUCGGCGGUAUUGGAAAUAUCAUUCCACAAGCUUCACAACCAUAACUAGAACUACUCCUAACUCAUCCUGAGAUGGAAGUUAUGACUGCUCAAAGUUGGCCAAAAAUUCAUUUUUUUCACACUUAGCCAAAUUUCCAAAAUUUUAAAUUCUUUCCAAAAAUGACUAUUUUUGAUUUUUAAGCCGCUUCAUAGUUAUUUCAUCUUACCGGAUGUUACAAUAUCUCCCCCUUGGGAACAUUCGUCCUCGAAUGAGGUUACUCUUACAAGGCUAAGGGUGCAACAACAACUCAAACACCCAACAAGCAACUAUACAAACACAACAACAACCACAACAUGCUCAUUAUAAUUAAAAGAGCACUAAAAAGGAAAUUAAUACCUUAAUCUGCAUUUCCUUCGGAUUCAAAGAGAUGUGGAUAUCUCUUCUUCAUGUCUUCUUCGGCUUUCCCCAAAGUGGCUUCCUCAACAAAUUGGUUCCUCCAUAGGACCUUGACUGAGGCUACUUCUUUCGUUCUCAACCUACGAACUUGACGAUCUAAAAUCUGAACAGGAACCUCCUCAUAAGAUAAGUUAUCCUUGAUCUUAAAACUUUCAGUCGGUAGGAUAAAAUGAAGGAUCGCCUAUGCACUUCUUCAACAUGGAGAUGUGAAAUAUUGGAUGAACCGCUUCUAGUUCCUGUACUUUGGUAUUUGUCAACUGCGCUCAAGCAGUGUUUCCUGUACUUUGGUAUUUUUCCAGAAUAUCACGUGGUCCAUUUGAUCACAUAUUAUGGUUGUGGAUGGCUGAAGGAUUUGUACCAACAGGAAAAGAAAUAAUGGAGGAUGUUGUUGAAGGCUUCUUCAAUGAGUUGAUAAGACGAAGCUUGAUACAAGUGGUACACACAUUUUGGGAAAAAGUUGGUAAAUGUAGGAUUCAUGAUCUGCUUCACGAUCUUGCCGUACAAAAAGCAUUGGAGGUAAACUUUUUUGACAUUUAUGAUCCAAGAAAGCACUCCAUAUCCUCCUUGUGUCUUAAACAUGCCAUUCAUAGUCAAGGAAAAAGGUAUCUCUCACUCAAUCUUUCUAACUUGAAGGUUAGGUCACUUAUGUUCCUUGAUACGGAUAUUUUAAAGAUGGGUCUUAUAAAGUUCCAUAAUGUGUUCCAACAUCUAUAUGUGUUGUACUUGGAGAUUCAUGUUGACAAUAUGUGUAUACUGUAUAGUACCUGAUGCCAUAGGAGGUUUGUACCACCUCAAGUUCUUAAGAUUGAGAGGUAUCCAUGAUCUUCCCUCUUCCAUUGGCAAGCUCAAGAAUUUAUAGACACUUCUUGUCAAUGACUAUGGAUACUUUUGCAACUACCCCGCGAGACAGCUGACCUGAUAAAUCUAAGACAUUUAGUUGCUUCGUAUUCAAAACCUCUGAAACGUAUAAGCAAACUCACUAGUCUUCAAGUUCUUAAAGGCAUCCAUUGUGAUCAGUGGAAAGAUGUUGACCCUGUUGAUUUAGUCAAUCUUCGAGAAUUAAGCAUGCAUGAGAUUACCAAAACUUACUCACUAAACAACAUUAGCAGCUUGAAAAACCUUAGCACUCUAAAAUUGUGCUGUGUAGCUUAUGUAUCAUUCCCAAACCUUGAAUAUCUUAGUUCUUGUCAAAACCUUCAGAAAUUGUGGUUGGAGGGGCAAAUAGAAAAACUGCCUCUCUCAUAGCAGUUUCUGAAUUCCAUCGCCAUGAUGGUCCUUCGGUACUCAGAACUCAUGGAAGAUCCCAUGUCUACUCUAGGGAUGCUCCCAAAUCUAAGGAAUCUCGAUUUUGUUUAGAGCUUACGGAGGAAAAGAAAUUACCUGCAGUGAUAACAGCUUCAGCCAACUGGAGAUCCUUCGUCUUGAUUGUCUUGAGAACUUAGAAAGAUGGGUUUUAGCCAGAAGUGGCAUGCCUCUGAUUAAAGGUCUUGGUAUCCAGCGUUGUCCAAAGCUACAUGAGAUUCCUGAUAGAAUCAAAGACGUGGAGAGAACUCCUUUUCAAUGAAGCUUUUCAAGCAUAUAUGAUGUCCUAUUUCAGCUCUUUCAUAAUCGUAGAGGUAAUAAAUCCCAAUCCCCAAUGAUCAUUUCUUAAAUUCCUUUUAAUUACUCACUCUGCCGCAGAUUUGUUAGUAUAAUGUUUAAUUUUUAUACUAUGACAGUACAAUUUUUUUUACAUUAUCACCAUACUAAAAGAAGUCAACUAUAAACAAUUGUCUAUUAGUAAAUCACUUAUGCAUGAGAUUUUGUCUUGUAUCACAAAUUCACAACAACAACAUACCCGGUACUGUAUUCCCACAGAACGAGGUCUGGUGAGGGUAGAGUGUACACAAACCUUACCUCCACCUCAAAGAUGAGGUAGAGAGAUUAUUUCCAAUAAACUCUCAGCUCAAGAUAAAAACAGACUAGAAAAAGACGUAAUGGAAGUAGAAGAGACAAUAGGUAGUAACAAAACAACAGAUGAAAGCAAAACAGUACUACAACCAAAUAAUAUUACAAUCGAACUACACGAAACAAUAGAUAUCAAUAAAAUGAUUUUCUUCAUGCCAAAAACACACUGAAUUGUAUUGGUAAUCUAUUAUUUGGUCAACACUUGAUAUUGUCCUGAUCAUUAUGAUUAAUCAUCAAUUUAGGUUAUUGAUAAAUCUUUUGUUCUUUAUUGAAUACUAUUCCUCAUAUUAAAUAGUGUCUUACAAUUUUGGUUGAAUAGGAGAAGCAGCAGCUGGCAGGUGUGGAACUUUUUGCCAAGCAUUUCAAGAGAUUUACAUGGAGCAAGUCGGAUUUUAGAAAUAAUAAGCAUGUUUCUUUUGUUUUGGCUUUAGGUCAUGUGUUUAAAUUACAACUGUGACAUUCAAGAUUUUUUUUUUAAAAAUCUCCUUGUAUAUAUUUCUUGUUCCGCCACUGCCCACAUUUUGUUUCUUGUCAUAACUAAGUAUUAAAUAAGUAUGAGCUUUUAAGUUCGAGAUUCAGAAAUGAACUUUUUGUAAUUAUUAUCCAAGAAUAUUAUGGUAUAAUAGAUCUUUAUAGAAUUAUAGUCCACAAACAUAUAAUAACUCAAAACAGUGAUGACUAGCAGUGAUGCUUGUGGAAGUCAAUUAAGGAUGGUGUUGACGAAUGGUGGGGUGGGAUUAGUAGCUAGUGGUGAUGGUGUUGGCAGUGGAGGUUGAUGGUGGCCGUUGAUAGUUAAGUUGGAUAAUAGUGAUAAUUAAUGGUAAUGGGGACAAUGAUAGUGAUUGUCAAUAUAUAAUGUCGUGAUUAGUGGUUGUUGUAGACUUGUAGUACUGAUGGUUGGUGAAGAAGAUUAUAAAUGAUAGCUAGUGAGGUGAAGGAGCAUCCAAGUGGUAAGCUUGGCCCCUGGAAGCAGAUUUGGAGGAACAAGGUGCCACCAAGGUAAAGUGUUUCUCCGGGUUGGUUGCCAGAAGAGCAUGCUCCACUCAUGAGAAAUUGAAAAGGAGGGGUUUCUAUAUUGCCUCUUGGUGCUCUCUCUGUAAUGAGACUGAGGAAACCAACAACCAUUUGUUCCUCCAUUGCAAAGUGACAACACAAUUUUGGAACCUUUUUUUGGGACCAACACAUACAAAAUGGAUUAUGCCUGAGCAUACAGCAGAUCUACUUAGUUGCUGGAUCAGCAGAGGGGGGAGAAAAUCUAAGAAAAAGUGGUGGAGUAUAAUACCAUCAUGCAUCUGGUGGUGUAUUUGGAAAGAAAGAAAUAGCAGAUGCUAUGAUAACAAAGCUAAUCUAAUAGAGAAAGUCAAAUGGAACUGCUUGACUACUUUUUAUUUUUGGUGUAAAGAGGAAGGGAUAGACCACUCUUGCGAGAAGCCUAUACAUCAGUCCUAAUAUAGUCAAUAGAUUCCAUACAUGAGCUUGGAUAUGUGUUUCUCAAGAGUACAACACCAUGGAUCUCCUUAGGAAUAACAUAAAAUCCAUCAAAGGUUGCACCAAGGAAAAAGGAAACUCUAAAUUUGUUGGAAAAGAUGACGGAAAGAGAUCUAGAAAUUUACCUUCGUGAUCUUUUAAAAGAACCCAAAUACCUUGUGGUGGUCGAUGAUUUAUGGCAAAGAGAAGCAUGGGAAAGUCUAAAACGAGCAUUUCCGGACAGCAAGAAUGGCAGCAGAGUUGUUAUUACCACGCGCAAAGAAGAUGUCGCUGAAAGAGCAGAUAACAAAGGUUUUGUCUAUAGACUUUGUUUCCUGAGCCAAGAAGAAAGUUGGGAUCUCUUUUGUAGGAAACUACUAGAUGUUCAGGCAAUGGUCUCAGCAAUGGAAAGGUUAGCUAAGGAUAUGGUGGACAGGUGUGGAGGUUUACCUCUUGCAAUUGUUGUAUUAAGUGGACUACUUUCACAUAAAAAGGGGUUCGAAGAAUGGCAAAAGGUGAAGGUCCACCUUUGGCAGCACAUUAAAGACGACUCUAUUGAAAUCUCCUACAUACUAUCAUUGAGCUACAAUGAUUUGUCAACUGCGCUCAAGCAGUGUUUUCUGUACUUUAGUAUUUUUCCAGAAGAUCGAGUGCUCGAGGCUGAAAACAUAAUACGGUUGUGGAUGGCCGAGGGUUUCAUACCAAGAGGAGAAGAAAGAAUGGAGGAUGUCGCUGAAGGCUUCUUGAAUGAGCUGAUAAGACGAAGCUUGGUUCAAGUAGCUAAAACAUUUUGGGAAAAAGUUACUGAAUGUAGGGUUCAUGAUUUACUUCACGAGCUUGCCAUACAAAAGGCAUUGGAGGUAAACUUCUUUGACAUUUAUGAUCCAAGAAACCACUCCAUAUCCUCCUUAUGUAUCAGACAUGCCAUUCAUGAUCAAGGAGAAAAGUACCUCUUACUUGAUCUUUCUAACUUAAAGUAAAGGUCAAUUAUAUUCUUCGAUCCAAAUUUUCGGAACAUGAAUCUUAUAAACUUCAGUAGUGUGUUCCAACAUAUAUAUGUGUUAUACUUGGAUAUUCUUGGUGGCACUGUACCUUAUGCCAUAGGAAUUUUGUACCACCUCAAGUUCUUAAGCUUGAGAGGUAUUGGUAAUCUUCCCUCCUCCAUUGGCAACCUCAAGAAUUUACAGACACUUUGUGUCAAAAGUGAAUUUAGACAUUUGUGCCAACUAACCCCCGAGACAGCUGACCUAAUAAAUCUAAGACAUUUAGUUGCUCAGUAUUCUGAACCUCUGGUACGUAUAAGCAAACUCACUAGUCUUCAAAUUCUUAAAGACAUCUCUUGUGAUCAGUGGAAAGAUGUUGACCCUAUUAAUUUAGUCAAUCUUCUUGAAUUAAGCAUGAUUGAUAUUACUAAAUCUUACUCCCUAAACAACAUUAGCAGCUUGAAAAACCUUAGCACUCUCAAAUUGUUUUGUAGAGGUGGUCAAUCAUUCCCAGACCUUGAAUUUCUUUAUUAUUGUGAAAAGCUCCACAAAUUGUGGUUAGAUGGGAGAAUAGAGAAACUGCCUCUGUUACCAAAUUCCAUCACAAUGAUGGUUCUUUUGGAUUCAAAAACUUCAUGGAAGAUCCGAUGCCUAUUUUGGGAAUGUUGCCAAACCUAAGAAAACUCGAAUUUCUUAGAGCUUAUCAAGGAAAAGAGAUAUUCUGCAGUUAUAAUAGCUUCCGUCAACUCGAGUUCCUUAGUCUUGCUUGUCUUGAGAACCUAGACACAUGGCAUUUAGCCACAAGUGCCAUGCUUCUGAUUAAAGGUCUUCGUAUUGAUCACUGUAAAAAGCUGAACAAGAUUCCCCAGAGAAUGAAAGACGUGAAGCUUUUCAAGCAUAUGAGAGGUUUUAUUUGAUAAUAGCAAAGGUAAAUAUUCAAACAAAUCUCAAUCCUACAUAACUUUCUUCAUUUUUUUUCUUUUAUAUAAAUUAAUAUUUGUGUUAAACAGGAGAAGAAGUUGUCACUUGAACCAUUCACCUUCAUCAACUUGGGCUCUCAAUUUACUCAUUAUUUCAACAUUCAGUUUUUUUGUUUUAUUUUGGUUUUUCAAUGUUUCAUUUCUCUCUCUUUUUGUCUUUAUUUAGUGCAUGUGUGGAAUUGGUUCAAAGAGAAUUUGUUUUGGGAUUAUCUCACCUAAUACUAUUUGAGUCAUUUGUCUAAUGGUAGGGAUAUAUGUGAGCCACUUUUGUAAUGAGGGGGAUAUCAAUUCUACAUCGCAAAGUUGAGGGGUAGAUCAUACUUUUUCCCCUAAAAAAUAAAUAAAUUAUGCAUUAGCUUUGUGUAUUACUUGUACCUUGUCUGCAGGUAUAUUUUUUCAAUCUAUGUACACAUAAUACACCCUAUAUAUAAUUAAGAUGCGUAUAACAUUGGACUAUGGAUUUUAACUUUGGGUUUGCCCACUAUAUCAACUACCGCUAGUUAACAUAGACUUCAACAACCACAACUCGGCUAGCUCUAGCCACUAACUCAACUCAUAAUGAAAUGAACUGAUGUAAUCUAUUAUCCUUUAUAGCUUAAGAAUAUAUUUACAAUACGCGAGCACAAAAUCCUAUACUCAAAUAACAACUUAAGGCUUUGUGACACUCGAUCAGGUCCCUUGUUGCAUGUGAGAGUAGUUCUUCCUUGGAAAUGAUUUUUGCUUUUGAUAAUCUUGAUUGCAAAAAUUAGGUUGUUUCUUGUCAACAUAUCCAGUGUAUAAGAGAGACAAAACAACCUAAUAGCAUGUUAUUGGUCGAGGACUGCUGUUCUUUCUACGCGUUUAUUACCGUGCUCACCAAUCACUGCAGUUUCUACAGCUUUACAGUUGCACUCCAUUGACUUAUCCUGAAAGACAAAAACUCAAAGGACCUAGUCCCUUUAUCAGAUAUUAUUUCUCUAUAAUUUGUUAAAUCAUCAGAAUUCAAAAAUACAAAAUUUGAUUGGUUCCAUCAUACAUAGUGUUAAAAAAUUAAAGUAGAUUCGAUGUUACUUUCAUUAUCAUGAUGCCUACCACUUCAAGAAAGCAUCAAUCAAGUUUCUGUUACUUUACUGAUUAUUUCAACUUUUUUUUUGUUUUAGUUUUUCAAUGUUUAAUUUCUUUUUUGUUUUUGGCUUCUUUAAGUGUGUGGAAUUGGUUCAAAAGAGAAUUACGAUACACUUUUUCAAUCAAUGUAUAUAUAAUAUUAUAUAUACAUAGUAUUAAGGUGCGCAUACUAUUGGAUGGUGGAUUUUAACAUCGGGGUUGCCAUAUAAGUUGCAAAAAUCGCAUUCACACGCUUAUCUGGCAUGAAUCAUAGAUAAUGUGACAUGUGGACAAACAUUAUUUUAAGUGGCUCAAGGGUUGAGUAGUAGAGGUGGUCGAUAGGUCCUAGUUCUAGCUGAGGCGUCUAGUAAAGUGAACUCUGCGGAAAAUUUUGAAGGACCGCAGGUGACUUAAGCCUAUAUUCCUUGCCUGUUAACUUAAUAGUGAAGAAGAUAAUACAUAUUUCUAGAAGAAGCUUUAAUACAUAUUUCAAAAAAAAUGUACCUUUCACUUAGCUUGUUGCAACUUUAUCCUUUUUUAUAAUGGUAGUAUAAUCGCAAAUUCUUUUUUCAAAAAACACAUGGUCAUGUUUCAUUUUUUAAAAACAUAAAAUGGACCCUUUGAACACAUGACUAUUUAUGUCUGAGUGCAUAUAUCUCUUAUCUCCCAUUUUCUAACUUGUUUUCUAAUAUACUGCUUCCUCUUUUACAGAUAAAAAUCAAUACUCCUAACGAUGGCUGAUGCCUUUCUGUCAUUUGCAGUUCAGAAAUUGGGUGAUUUCCUCAUUCAGGAAGUUAACCUACGUUUAAGUCUAAGAGAGGAUAUACAGUGGCUGUGAAACGAGAUUCUCUUCAUGCAGUCUUUCCUCAAAGAUGCAGAACUAAAACAAUGUGGAGAUCAUAGAAUUCAACAAUGGGUGUUUGAGAUCAACUCUAUUGCUAAUGAUGCUGUUGCUAUGCUCGAGACUUAUAGAUUCGAGGCUGAUAAAGGUGCUAGUCGUCUCAAGGCUGAGAAAUGAGCUACUCUUCAUACAGUCUUUCCUCAGAGAUGCAGAACUAAAGCAAAGUAGAGAUCAAAGAGUUCAACAAUGGGUGUUUGAGAUCAACUCUAUUGCUAAUGAUGCUGUUGCUAUGCUCGAGACUUAUAGAUUCGAGGCUGAUAAAGGUGCUAGUCGUCUCAAGGCUUGCGCUUGCAUUUGUAGGAAGGAGAAGAAACUCUACAAUGUCGCCAAGGAGAUUCAAUCACUCAAGCAAUGAAUCAUGGAUAUCUCUCGCAAACGAGAGACUUAUGGUGUUACAAAUAUCAAUAGUAAUGCAGGAGAAGGGCCAAGUAAUCAGAUUAUAACAUUGAGGAGAACUACCUCAUAUGUGGAUGACCAGGAUUACAUUUUUGUUGGCUUUCAGGAUGUUGUACAAACAUUGCUAGCUCAACUUAUCAAAGCAGAGCCUCGUCGAACCGUCCUCUCCAUUUAUGGCAUGGGCGGAUUAGGCAAGACCACUCUUGCAAGAAACCUCUACACCAGUCCUAAUAUAAUCUCAAGCUUCCCUACACGCGCUUGGAUAUGUGUUUCUCAAGAGUACAACACAAUGGAUCUUCUUAGGAAUAUCAUAAAAUCCAUCCAAGGUCGCACCAAGGAAACUCUAGAUUUGUUGGAAAGGAUGACAGAAGGAGAUCUAGAAAUUUAUCUUCGUGAUCUACUAAAAGAACGCAAAUACCUUGUGGUGGUUGAUGAUGUAUGGCAGAAAGAAGCAUGGGAGAGUUUGAAAAGAGCAUUCCCGGAUAGCAAGAAUGGCAGCAGAGUCAUUAUUACCACGCGCAAAGAGGAAGUCGCUGAAAGAGCAGACAACAUAAGUUUUGUUCAUAAACUUCGUUUCCUAAGUCAAGAAGAAAGUUGGGAUCUCUUUUGUAGGAAACUACUUGAUGUUCGAGCAAUGAUUCCAGCAAUGGAAAGUCUAGCUAAGGAUAUGGUGGAAAAGUGUAGAGGCUUACCUCUUGCAAUUGUUGUAUUGAGCGGACUACUUUCGCAUAAAAAGGGGCUAAACGAAUGGCAAAAGGUGAAAGACUGCCUUUGGAAGAACAUUAUUGAAGAUAAAUCUAUUGAAAUCUUCAGCAUACUAUCAUUAAGCUUCAAUGAUUUGUCAGUUGCGCUCAAGCAGUGUUUUCUGUACAUUGGUAUUUUUCCAGAAGAUCAAGUGAUCGAUGCUGAAGACAUAAUACGUUUGUGGAUGGCAGAGGGUUUCAUCAUACCCAGAGGAGAAGAAAGAAUGGAGGAUGUCGCUGAAGACUUCUUGAAUGAGCUGAUAAGACGAAGCUUGGUUCAAGUGGCAAAAAUAUUUUUGGAAAAAGUGUAGGGUUCAUGAUUUACUCCGUGAUCUUGCCAUACAAAAGGCAUCCGACACAAACCUCUUUGACAUUUAUCAUCCAAGAAGGCACUCCAAAUCCUCUUCAUGUAUCAGACUUUCCAUUCAUAGUCAAGGAGAAAGGUAUCACUCACUUGAUCUUUCUACUUUGAAGUUGAGGUCAAUUAUGUUCUUCGAUCCAGUUUUUCCUAAUGUGUCCCAACAUAUAUAUUUGUUUCGACAUAUAUAUGUGUUGUACUUGCAUAUGGAUUAUGGUGGUGUUCUACCUGAUGCCAUAGGGAGUUUGUACCACCUCAAGUUGUUAAGCAUUAGAUCAGGUGUCUGUAAUAUUCCCUCCUCCAUUGGCAACCUCAAGAAUUUACAGACACUUGUCAUUGUAAAUGGGUACGCAUCAUUUUGCCGACUAUCCCGCAAGAUAGCUGACCUAAUAAAUCUAAGACAUUUAGUUGUUCAAUAUUCAGAGCCUCUGAAAUGUAUAAACAAACUCACGAGUCUUCAAGUUCUUAAAGGCAUUCGUUGUGAUCAGUGGAAAGAUAUUGACCAUGUUGAUUUAGUCAAUCUUCGAGAAUUAAGCAUGGAUCGUAUCAGGAGCUCUUACUCCCUAAACAACAUUAGCAGCUUGAAAAACCUUAGCACUCUCAGAUUGUCUUGUCAAGAUUAUGAUGAAUCAUUCCCAUCCCUUGAAUUUGUUAAUUGUUGUGAAAAGCUCCAGAAAUUGUGGUUAAAAAGGGAGAAUAGAGAAACUGCCUAAUCUGUUUCCAAAGUCCAUCACAAUGAUGGUUUUGAGGAACUCGGGACUGACAGAAGAUUCGAUGCCUAUUUUGGGAAUGUUGCCAAACCUAAGGAAUCUCAAACUAGAAGAUGUUUAUGAAGGAAAAGAAAUAAUGUGCAGCGAUAACAGUUUUAGUCAACUCAAGUUCCUUAAUCUUGAUCAUCUUCAAAACCUAGAAAGAUGGGAUUCAGGCACAAGUGCAAUGCCUCUCAUUAAAGCUCUUCAUAUCUAUGAAUGUCCAAACCUGAAGGAGAUACCAGAGAGGAUGAUUGACUUGAAGAAGCUUGAAGAGACCAAGUUUUUUUUGUACAAAUAGUGUGUUAAUAUUUGGGUUAAACAGGAGAAGAAGUUGGCAUGAAUCAAGUUGGAUUAUUUCAACAUUCAUUUUUUUUUGUUUGAAUAAAAUCAAUAUUAUUUUAUAAAGCAUAUAAUAAAUUAUUAUCAUAGCAAUUAACUAUCAUGUUUAGUUUUUCGGAGCACUUUUAAUAUUUGAUUAUAAAAUAGUGUCGGCUAUAAUGCUUAGGAUCGAAGAGAGUUGAUCAGCAUUCGGCAUUUUUUGAUGCUAUUUUAUAAAGCACAUGUGAUUAUACCGUUUAAGCUAUUUUUUGCACCUAUUAAAUAAAUUCGGAGAUUAUCAUUCAAAUGAAGUUAGCAAAUUAAAUAGAAAAAUCUAGACUUAAUAAGAAUGUACCUGAAAAUUAGAAGACACACUUUUGUACUAGCUUAACGACAGAAGCAUAUAUUGAAUGACUGAUAUUAGGUACAGUAAAACCUCACUAAAUUAAUACUCAAUAAAUUAAUAAUCUCUCUAAGAUAAUAUUUUUUUUGGGUCCCGGCUUGGGCCAAUAGAAAAAAUCACUUAUUUCGAUAAGUUAAUAUGAUAAUAUAUUUUCAACAAACCCCUAUAUAAAUAUAUGGUCCCAUCAAUAUUAUAAAUUAAUAAUUCCUUAAAAGUACAAAUAUAUCUAAGACGAUUUAGUGAAAUGUGAUUCUAUUGUGUUUUUUUUUUNNNNNNNNNNNNNNNNNNNNNNNNNNNNNNNNNNNNNNNNNNNNNNNNNNNNNNNNNNNNNNNNNNNNNNNNNNNNNNNNNNNNNNNNNNNNNNNNNNNNNNNNNNNNNNNNNNNNNNNNNNNNNNNNNNNNNNNNNNNNNNNNNNNNNNNNNNNNNNNNNNNNNNNNNNNNNNNNNNNNNNNNNNNNNNNNNNNNNNNNNNNNNNNNNNNNNNNNNNNNNNNNNNNNNNNNNNNNNNNNNNNNNNNNNNNNNNNNNNNNNNNNNNNNNNNNNNNNNNNAAUAGGACCUUAGUAAAGGUUAGGUGUGUCUUAGGGAUUUUGGCAUAGGCUGAGGGGGUACUUAUGCAUUUUCCCAAAUUUAAUUCUAGUUGAAGGUCAUCUUUAACUUUUCUUAUUACAUCAAAAAGUUCUGGUGUUGUUUUUUCGAACGACACCAUAAAAUUGUGAAUAGUUCUAGAUGCGAUAAGUGUUUUCUUACGCGUAACUGGUUGCAAAGGUAUUAUAUCAUCUUCAACUUCAUCAUCCACGUUGUUUUUUUAUGGUAUCCACAAUUUCUUCUAACUAAUGGACUCUGAACAUGUAUCACUUUCAUCCAGGUAAUCCAAAAGGUUAUUGAUGUUAAUUUUUUUGCGGUAACGGGGAUCAUUGAUCAUGGCCUCAAAUUCAUGAAUGACGUUUUCACAAAACACUCUUUAAAUUAAUAAAUAUUAAUUUAUUGAUUAAAUAAACCUCUACAAAAUAAUAAUAUUUCAUUGGCCCACCUAUAUUAAUUUAGUGUGAUUUUAUUAUAUGUUUAUACAGUGUAGUCUUGAAGAUUUGAUGGUAAAAACUCUUUCGUAUUCCUCAAUCACUUAAUUUGAUUCCUUUCAAGUUUUCAACUAUUAAAGUAGGUUCUCAUUUACUCCCCUAUUAUGUUAAUUUAAAUAUUAUUAUUUAAUUAGAUAUUUAAUUUAUGUUUAGAGUAAUUAUUUUAUUACAUUUUAAUUUAGUAUAGGAUCAAAAUGGUAAUCUAAUUUUACACGUGAUAGAUUUUCACUUUUGAUAAUAUAUGAUGAUGAUAAUUUAAUUAAGAUAUAUCUCUAUAAUUUCGAUCAUAGUCUAGGGGUAGUUGUCUCUUAUCCCAAUUUUAAUCACAUAAGUGGACACACUAUAUACUCUCACAUUUAUGUCUUACUACUUCUGAGUGUAUUCCAAUAUACACCCCCCACCCCCCUCUUAUUUUCAAUCAAAAGUAGUAUUCCUGAAGAUGGCUGAUGCCUUUCUGUCAUUUGUAGUUCAAAAAUUGGGUGAUCUUCUAAUACAGGAAGUUUCCAUGCUUACAAGUCUGAGAGAUGAAGUUAAAUGGCUGAAGAAUGAGCUACUCUUCAUGCAGUCUUUCCUCAAAGAUGCAAAACAAAAGCAAUGUGGAGAUCAAAGAGUUCAACAAUGGGUGUUUGAGAUCAACUCUAUUGCUAAUGACGUUGUUGGUAUACUCAAGACUUAUAACUUCGAGGUUGGUAAAAGUGAUGACAUUGGAUUUGCUAGUUGUCUCAAGAAAUAUAUUCUACAAUGUCGCCAAGAUGCCAAGGAGAUCCAAUCACUCAAGCAACGAAUCAUGGAUAUUUCUCGCAAACGAGAGACUUAUGGUAUUACAAAUAUCGAUAAUAAUGCUGGAGAAGGUCCAAGCAAUCAGCCUUCCAUGGUUACAACAUUGAGGAGAACUAACUCCUAUGUGGAUGAUCAGGGUGACAUUUUUGUUGGAUUUCAGGAUGUUGUAGAAAGAUUGUUGAAAAUUGUUUUUAGUUACUGCAGUAGACUUUAGUAUAAGAAGUUGCUAGGUUUAAGAUUUUUGAAUUUUAAAUUAUGCAGAUUUUGUGUUUAAGUUGGUUACUUCCAGUUGUUUUUUUUUCUCAAAUCUCUCAAGGUAGAGAUAAAAUAUGGGUACAUACUACCUUUCUCAGAUCCCACUUAUGGGAUUACGUUGGGUAUGUUGUUGAAGUUUUCACUAGUCCAAAUCAAAUGUCAUUCUAAUAGGCUCAUAGCUUUUAUACCUUUAUAAAGGUUGUUCAUUUGAUCCCAAGAUCCAAAUAAGGCUACAAAGUCAAUGUCUUAGUACUUGGUCGAAUAAGUGUAUCUUAAGAUCAUCCAGUUAACAAUCAAAGACACUGACAAUCAGAAUAUCCUCUAUGCACAAUGCAGCUAUGUAAUAAAGCUCACAACUCGAUUAAGGCUGCAACAUGUAAUUUGUUUUGUUUAUUUUAUGACACGAGAUGAAAUCAUGCAUCUACAAGCAUAUUCAUACUGAAUUGCACAACUACUUCAGAGUUCUGAGCAUAGCUUCUCACAAAGAGGAUUCGGUGAUCGCUGAGACAAAAUUUGAUGAAUGGCACACUGGCAAAUUGCAGUCAGACUGUCGAGACAUAAAAUUGAUCUCCAGCAGUCCAAGCCAUUACAUUUGCGGAAAGAAAUGGAUUUUUCAGAUCAAAACUAUUUCCGCUAUCCUGCUAAGCCUGAAGUUUGAGCAGAAACUAACAUCAGCUGAUGAUCAUCUUGUUCAGGAAUUCAGCUUGCUCAGGAAAGUAUUCCAACAGUUCAUCUUUGGUCACCCAGACAAAAUCAUCACAUUUUCUAAUAUCAAACUUGUUGGCUGCAAUAACUUGGGAUUUGAAGAAGAAGCGCUGCCACAAUAAAAUAUAGAAUAUAUACAUAAGAAGCACAAACUUUGCAGAAGCUAUCAGGGAAUUUCCCUCCCUCCGUCCCUCGCUCCAUGUGGGAUGACAGAAUUUCUUACUGUCCUUUUCUUCAAUACUUCAAUAAUUAAAAUGUACAUACCUUGAUUGACGGGAUUUUCUUGUCUUCAGUGGAUUGCAUGACCAUAUGACCCAUAGGGGCAUUUCCAACAAAAUAUGUAUGUGAAAGAUCUCCAAUGAAAGAUUCUAGAGCAGACUCAGCACACUGCAAAUAGUUGCAACUUAUAUUCAUUUUUCUAACCCAAAUUACUGAAAUCACCAAAGAAAUGGACUGACUAAGUACUAGUUACCUUGCGCAAAUUCUCUUCAGACUCGUAAACUUUUUCAGGGAAAUGCCAGACAGGCUUUCCACUACCUUGUGUGGCACCAUGGACUAGAAGAUAGAGUCUCCUGUCUAGUGCUCGAUGUAAUGACCUUGUGCAUAUCAACAAAAUUUCAUAAUCAGUAACAUGAAAUACUAACCAGCAGAAGGAAACAAAAGCUUUGAAUAUCUGUUGACACAUUAUUCAUGUUCAGGAAAAUGCAAAGGUUUUGUAUAGGGUUAGUACCUUUUAGCAAAGUUUGACCAAGUGAUGAGUUGAAAAACAGACGCAAGCUUUAUUUUGUGGUGUAGAGGGUGAAGAAGGCAUAUAAAAGGAAAAAAAAAGCAACAGUAGCUCUCCAUUCUUAAUUUUAAAUACUUACACAAUGCACAAUUAGACAAAUCUCAUGUAACUAACACAUCAAUUACUUUGAGACAAUAUUAAGGCAUUUCGACAUUAAAAAUUUAGUUAUGGUAAACAAUUUAGAAGUUAAUAAUUACCUAUUGUCAGGAAAUAUGAGUCUGCUGAAUUUAGGUAAAGCAACUCUUGAAAGAAAAAUAUCUUCUAGUGCAAUGUCCAUAUUCAAAUUCUUGUAUAAUAUUUGACAAAUGUUAGAAGUUCAAGCUAUAGUACCUUUGAUCAUUAGUCUUAUCUGCUUCUGAGAUUCGAGGAGCGGGUUUAUAAUCAAUUUGAUAAUCACCUUUUCCCCUGCAUGUAAAAUAUAGAUGUAACGGUGCCACUUGACCAUGUGGCAUUUGACACUAGACAGAACAGUAUGUGAUAGCAUGUUCAAGAAGAACCAUGUACAUAAUUAAUGGCUAAUAAGGAAGAAUGCAUGAAAGAAAAGGCAAUAAUACUACACAAGCCAAGGAGUAAAAAUCAGUUGGAUCAUACUGCUAAAAGAGGAGACAGUGUUUACUCUCCAACAUGCAUACUGUUGCAUGCAGAGAUCUCAAUUUCUUAAAACGUGAUCUAUAUAGAUACAAAAGAGAUUAGGCCAUUUUUACCACCAUGUACUUUUUCUGAAUAGAAAGUAAAGUUUUUAAAUUGUAAAUGGCCAAUGCUAAGAUAGUAAUGCUCACUGCCCAGUACCAAAGGGUAUUCUCCAAGUUACAGAAACCAAUUUCUCAUGGGACCAAGUUACUAUUAUUUCUUUUUCUGCUUUUGAGUUAAGCUUAUAAAUUUUUUCCAACAAAUGAUUGGCAACAAAGGGAUUUUUUUUAAAGUGAACCGAGGGGGUAUAAUAGUAUAUUAAUGAGAUUCAUGCAUAUGUUUAGGAGGGGUGAACCAGAAAUAAUUAUAGGUAUAGCCAUCUUUAUUAUGUUCCCUAGCUUCUCAUGUUUUGAUGUGCUACGUUUUCCAAGAAAAAAUCAUCACAGAUUUGAAGGGAAGAGAGAACCACAACUGCAACUCGGAGUACUAUGCCAUUUAUUCUUUUUCUGGAGUCAACAGAAGCUUAACGUAUUUGUGAAAAAAUUACAUUUUAUUAAGUUUAAUCAUAUAGUUCUUGCACAAAGGAAUCCCAAAAGUUUUCAAACAAGAAAGGAGUAAAAGGGCUAAAACGCCAAAAAUCUAUUAACUUUUGUCAGUAGUGGAAGCGACAAUUAUUCAUGUCUUCCUGCUGUAAAGUAAAUUCUGCAAUCUAUGGGGCUGAUAGGUUUAGAAUGCUUGACAGCAAUUGUAUGGAUUAAUGGUGGAGAAGUCCAAACUGGAAGAAAGGCAUGUUUGUGCAAAAUGAAUCAGAAACUGAGAAGAUUAGUUUCCAGAAAUUUAGACUUCAGAAAGCUAGAUAGUCAAGAGUAAAAUAUUGGUAAGAUAAGGAAAACCUUGAAAUCUCUCCAUGACCAAUUGUGCCAUUAGUUUUAGUAAGCCAUAAUGAAUGUGUUUUAUUUAGUAUUUAUGACAGAUUCCAUGCCUGUUGCAAUGAGCUCUUUUUCCUCAACUGUUUACCCACUUCUUUGUUCAGUUGUGAGUACAAAUCCUUCCUUUUAACUGCUAAUGGUAGUUUAAAAAGAGAACUUGACCUAGAAAGAAUAUUUUCCCAGAUUUUCAAAUUCAGGAGUUCUGAAAACUAGCAAAAUACCUCUAGUGCUGGAUUCCAGAACUUAAAGUCUUAAACAAUCUAAGGAAAACAGAAAAGCACUAAACUACAAUCAUAAACAAGGAGUUACUAAUAAUUAUUUUGCAAAAUUUAUCACCCAUCCAAAUUUUGAACUUAUGGUUUAAUUCUUGGUUAUUUUCUUUGUCGUGGAUGGAAUCAACCCGUGCUGCUCAUAACCUUUUUUAAUCACUGUAUGCAGAACAGAGAUGAUUCUUCCCUGAAGAAAAUUCACCAGUACUUACACCAAGAUCUCUCAUUUAGACAAACUCUAUUUCUAGAGUAAAGAAGAAUGCUCAGAAAAUCUUCAAAACUUUUCGACUUUUAAGCGCUCUUCAUGCUAUUAAACUCCUAAAGCAAUUUCACUGGUCUAUUAUGUUUUAACUUAUUUCAUGCAUCCUAUGCACACUCUUCAUACCAUUCAUCAGUUAACAUUUCAUAAAUGAAGAUACAUAAUUCACAAAAAGAGGUAUUAAAUGGCAAGGUGUAAUUCAAGCAAUGCAACAGAAAUGUACCUGGUAUCAGACUUCUUCAGAAAACUUUCUGGAUACUCUCGCCGAUAUUGCUGCCUCCAACGAAACCUAUAAAAGAAAUUAAUAAUAAAAUUAUUGCAAUCAACUAAACACCGAUUACAUUAAACAAUCAUCUACAUUGUCAUUCGCCAACUCUUAUUCAUGAACCUUUGCUCUUUUUUAUCCUUCUCAUUUUCUCCUUUUGCUGGCAUCUUAGUUACCAACCCAUUCUAUAACCUCAUUAUUCUCAACUUCAUUACACAUUAUCUCCUAGUAUUAGAAACCACUGCAAAAUUUUGGACAAAAGAAACUCUUUUCUUUCUUAGAUAUACUUCGUCAAACUUACAAAAUAGUGAAGAUUCAUAAAUUUGACCUGACUAAUUUGGGAUUGAGGCAUAAUUAUUGUUUUUUAGUACUAUUUUUCUCAAGCAAACAUAUCAAAGUACCCCUUAAUCCCUAAUUAACCAUCACAGUUUCUGGAAAGCGAAAAAAAUAAUUUUGAUCAUUCUAUUAUACGAACCAGCAUUUAUAUGAUUUAGGAACGAUAGUACACCCGUAUAAGCUAAUGAACUUAUAGCUCUAAAAGUAAAUCAUUGUAAUUGGAUUACAAAAGGCUUGAUUACAUUUCGAUUUCGUGCAACAAUUGAACAGAAAAAAGUAAAACUUACGAAAAUUCUUGAAAAGCAUAUACAGUAGGAUUGAUUUUGGGAACCACUACCGGUAAUCUUUCGAAGAGCACUGAAGCGACAAUUUUAUCAUUGUUGGAUGAAGAAAACCAUCGUUUACCUAUCGCAGAUCGACCCGCAGAUGAACAGCACCUCUGCAUUUUCAUAAACCCUAGAAACCCAAAUUCCACAGUACUGACAGGGAAUUGAAAUUUCUCGGGUUGAAAUUUAUGGGCUUGGGAUUCAGAUUGGAAUUUAUGGGCUUGGGACUUGGGUUGAAGUAUGAAAUUUCAAUAAAGAUUAUUAAACUUAUCUAUUCUUUAAGUAUUGAUUUUUCAGCUUAUAAACACUUUUAGUUUGAUCAAUCGUUGUAUUAUUGUAUCUCUACCAUAUUUUAGUAUUGCUUGAUCCAAAGGCGGUGAAAUUUUCAUCUGUUGCGUGGAGUAUAUAUUAUUUUCAUAUUGCUUUUAUUCCAUAUCUUAUUGUAAAGCUUAAAUAGUUUUCACUUCAUAUUUAUGUAUUGAUUCAGUUGAGUUGUUUUAUGGGGGAUAAUGUGUUUUGUUAAACAUAAGUAUCAAUACUAGUUGAUCUUAUUGAUGACAAAAUUGAUUUUCUUGCAAGAUCAAUUUGUGUCCGUCUAGUAUUGACACUUAGUGUCACGCUCCCAGCCUACACCCUGGACGUGACAGAUGUGUUGGGUAUUAAUUACUCGGAGUUUCUUACCAUAAAUAGGUUUUUCUUUUUAAGAAAAGGUUUUAAUAUUUGGCUAAUUAUUUUCUUGUAGGAAAAGGUUUAGGACUCUAUAAAUAGAGGUUUGUUCUUCUAACUUAAUCAGCAUUCACAAUGUAGUCCUAGGGUUUUGAGAGUUUCGGUUAUGAGGGAGAAUUUGUGAACCUCUUUGUAUUCCAAGUGAAUUGGUUGAGGUUGUUUCUCUCUAUAUUUUGUACUCUCAUAUUUAUAUAGUGGAUUUCUCGUCUCCUUUGUGGAUGUAGGUCGAUUGACCGAACCACGUUAAAUCUUUGUGUCUUUUGGUAUAUUUCUCGUUUGUUUUCUUACUCGUGGUCUUUCGAAGUUUGUUUUGCUAGUUUCUACAUGACACCUAAUUAUUUUCGAUCCUAACGCGAUGAUGCAACAAGUAAGGCAUAUUGCUUGUAUUUUGAGCAUUGGUCGUUAAACCUCAAAUCGUCUUGUUUGUUUUCCAACUGGAGUUAAGUAGAAUCGAGAGGAUUCAUUUGUGGAAAAUUAUAUAGUUUAUACAUAGUUAAAAUAAAUACAUUUUAUGUAUAUAUAUAUAUAUGGUAGAAUUGAUUUCUUCGUGUAUUUACUUCUUCAUAUCAUAAUUUAAACUAAUGAAAAGUCGUAUUCUGUCAAUGUGAUAUCUACGCAAGGAAAUCACAAAUGUAACUUGUUGGUUUCUUUUUUUUCUGUGUUUGAAAAUACUUUUAACCCAUGUUAAAAGUGAAACACAACACGAAAGUUAAAAACAAGAAAGCUUCCACCAUAGAAAUAUUAAUAAUACUGGUAACAUAUGCCCCAACAAGGGGGGAUUAUAUUACUACUAGUGAAACAAAGCAAUUAGGAAAAAAAAAAAAAAAAGACCAACAUGGCUUCAUUCUUGAUUCUACACUUGACUUAGAGUUUGCCAAAUGAGUGAGCAAGGUAAGUGGCAGGUUCAGAUUGCUCGUAAUCUGAACGAUCGUCUGGGAAAUGAUCGUGCUGAUCAGGACCACCCACCACAGCCCCCACUAGUAUGUUCGGGUUUGGUGAUUGUGAAUUCAUCACACUGAAACCAGACCUGCAUUGUAUCUUUGCUGGAUGGUUCGCGAUUGAGGAUCCCCUGUGAUGAAUCCUCUGUGGAUACCUAGCUCCAUGUAUGAUAUUUUUAGUGAAUUGUCUCCUAACAAAUAGUCCACCUGUGCGUUCAAAAAAAAGGAACGAGGCUUAACUUUUAUGCACUGAUUAAAUCCUCUUGUCCAUCACACCAAACGACCCCUGAGGGUUUGCUAUAUACUUAAAAUAUUCACUUUCAUUGUUGAGCUAGGGGUGUGCAAAAACCGAUUUAACCAAUAAACCGAACCGAAAAAAAUACUAUUGAUUUAUUGAUAUUGGGUUAUUGGGCUAACGGUUUUUAAACGGUUUUGCAAAAAAAUUUAUUGGGUUAUUGGUUCGGUUUCCGGUUUUAUAAUUUUUGUUAAUGAUUAAACCGAUAACCCAAUAAGACUAUACUAAAUUUACUUUUAUUGGGUUAUUGGUUUGGUUUCCGGUUUUAUAUUUUUUGUUAAUGGUUAAACCGAUAACCCAAUAAGACUAUACUAAAUUUACUAGUCUUAUUGUUAAUGGUUAAACGAUUGUUACUUUCACACUUUUUCCUUUGAAUGUGUCUAGUGUCUAAACUUGCAAGAAAAAUGAUUGUUACUUUUAUGAUUAUUACUUUCAUGCUAAAUGCUGGAAAAAUCAUAUGGUUUAUUUGAAAAUUUUCUUAUCGUGUAUAUAAUAUAUAUGAGUAUUUUCUUAUUGGUUAAACCGAAAACCGAACCGUUAAGUACCAUAAACCGAUUAACCAAAAACCGAUAAGAAAUAUGUUAUUGGUUUGGUUAUCGGUUUGAUGUAUUUACAAACCGAAAACCGAUAAACCGAACCAAUAACACCUAAAACCGAACCGAACCGACCGAUGCGCACCCCUAUGUUGAGCAAUGUGAUAAAAAGAAAGUCAAAGUACACACAAUAUUCAGCACUAGCAAAGUUCUGGGAAGGACCGCACCAAAAAAUAGGGCACAUUUCACUUUCAUUGCUCUAAUUUUUGAAAAUGGGAACACUUUGAUUUUCUCCUAUUCAUCCACAUUUGUGUUUGACAUAUUUGACAAUAUUAUUUCUUUUUAUUAUGUGAACCAUUGGACAAUAAUACAUAUAAUUAUUACUUUAAGACUUUUCUCCGUAGAUAUUUUCCCACAAGUUGUUUAAUGGUUGUUGAAUAAGCUUUAACACAUAUUUCAACAAUUACACAAGUGGAGCCUUUGAACACACUAUUUAUCUCUACUGCUUCUGAGUGUAUAUCUCUAAUCCCAAUAUACAUCCCCCUCUUUUCCAGAUAAAAAUCAACACUUCUGAAGAUGGCUGAUGCCUUUGUGUCAUUUGCAGUUCAAAAAUUGGGUGAUUUCCUCAUACAGCAAGUUUCCCUGCGUAAAAAUCUGAGAGAUGAAGUUAGAUGGCUGAGAAAUGAGCUACUCUUCAUGCAGUCUUUCCUCAGAGAUGCAGAACUAAAGCAAUAUGGAGAUCAAAGAGUUCAACAAUGGGUGUUUGAGAUCAACUCUAUUGCUAAUGAUGCUGUUGCUAUACUCGAGACUUACAGCUUCGAGGCUGGUAAAGGUGAUGACGAUGGAUUUGCUAGUCGUCUCAAGGCUUGCGCUUACAUCUGUAGGAAGGAGAAGAAAUUCUACAAUGUCGCCAAGGAGAUUCAAUCACUCAGGCAACGAAUCAUGGAUUAUAACAGUCCUAAUAUAGUCAAUAGCUUCCCUACACGCGCUUGGAUAUGUGUUUCUCAAGAGUACAACACAAUGGAUCUCCUUAGGAAUAUCAUAAAAUCCAUCCAAGGUUGCACUAAGGAAACUCUAGAUUCGUUGGAAAGGAUGACAGAAAGAGAUCUAGAAAUUUACCUUUGUGAUCUAUUAAAAGAGCACAAAUACCUUGUGGUGGUUGAUGAUGUAUGGCAGAGAGAAGCAUGGGAGAGUUUGAAAAGAGCAUUCCCGGAUGGCAAGAAUGGCAGCAGAGUCAUUAUUACCACGCGCAAAGAGGAUGUCGCUGAAAGAGCAGACAACAGAGGUUUUGUCCAUAAACUUCGUUUCCUAAGCCAAGAAGAAAAUUGGGAUCUCUUUAGUAGGAAACUACUUGAUGUUCGAACAAUGGCUCCAGAAAUGGAAAGUCUAGCUAAGGAUAUGGUGGAAAAGUGUAGAGGCUUACCUCUUGCAAUUGUUGUAUUGAGCGGACUACUUUCGCAUAAAAAGGGGCUAAACGAAUGGCAAAAGGUGAAAGAUCACCUUUGGAAGAACAUUAAAGAAGAUAAAUCUAUUG